rnacentral:lncRNA from 1 species
AUUCACUUGCUUCUCCUCAGCAUCCAUUAGCACAGCUUUCACAGUCAACAAGAUAUCCUCAAGCUUUCUGAGUUCUGCUUUCAAGCCCCAUGCAAAACAUAUCUCUUGGUAGGUAUGGGAUGCUAUCUUCUCCAACACUUUCUCAGCAAUAUUAAAAGCCAAUGACUCUAUUGCCAUUUUUGUGGAUUUUGAUUUUUAUCUGAGUGUGAACUGAGAUAGAUAACAAAAUUUGAAUCAAAUCGAAUCGAUUUUGAUCAUAAAUCAAAUCGAACCAGUUUCAUUCGAUUCGAUUUGAAUUUUUAAUUAUUUUUUUAUUUUUUCACUUUGUGUAUUAUUUUAAAAUUUAAUUAAAAUAUUUUAACCUUAAUAUGAUUUAAUCUCUCCAUAUUAUUGAAAAUAAUAUAUUAUUAUCAUUUAUUAAUUCGGUUUGAUUUUUUUAAUUUUUUUAUUAAAAUAUAAUCAAACCGAAAUAACCAAAAUUUUUAAAAUUGAAAAUCGAACUGAACUAAAUUUUUAAAUUAAUUCGAUUCGAUCAAUUUUUUCGAUUUGAACCGAAUAUUACUCCUCCCUAAAUACAAUAUUGAAUUAAACUUCAUGUAAAAAAUAUUUUUCAUUUAAUAAAAAAAUUAAGUUUCUUUUAAAGAAUAUGAAUUUUUUUUUUUAAAGGCUAAGUGAUUUUUAUAUUUUAAUAAUUUUAUUAAAGCCAUUGUAUAUUUUAUAUAUAAUUAUUAACGUCGUUUCUUUUUAAAUAUUUUUUUCAACAAUGAAAAGUAAAUUAUUUUUUAAAAAAACUCACGAAAAUUAUUUUCUGGGAUAUUUUCUUUGGUCCAUUCUCUUGUUUGCCUUGUUACAAGUGUUUCAUAUCCUAAUGGCUAACUUUUUUAGUAAUGAAAUAUAUUUCUUCAUAAAAUUUUAAAUUAAAGGGGUAUUAUAUAAAAAAAAUUUUAAUGUUUACUAUAAUUAAUAUUUAUAUCUAAUAUUUUGAAUUUUAAAUAGUAAAUUAAAUUUUUUUAUUUUAUUUAAUUAUAGAUAAAAGGAUUAAAUUGAAUUUGAAAAAAUUAAUGGUAAAUUAUAAUAUAGUUUUAAAAAUUUUAUAUUAUUAAUAAAAUAUAAUUUUUUAAUUUAAAUUUUAUAUUAAAAUUAAAUAUAUUUUAUAUUUAUUUUAUGUAAUAAUAUUAUUAUAAAAAUAAAUUUUUAUCAUAUAAAACAUUACAUAUAAAUAAUAUAUUAAAAUAUUUUAUUGAAUAUUUAUAUUUGAUAUUAUAAAUUAUGUGUAUAUUUUUUAUAUUUAAAAAAUUUUAUUUUUUAUGAAUUUUUAAAUAAAAUAAAAUAUUAUAUAUUUUAAAUUAUAAUUUUCUUAUAUUUUAAAUUUUUAUUAAUAUCUAUGAUAUUAUAUAAAAGUGAAAAUAAGGAGUGAAUAAUGAAAUUAAUAAAAACUGAUAUUGUUAUAAUAAAAAUAUGUAUUUAAAUCUUCAUUUAUUAUUUAAAUAAAAUUUUAGAGAUUAUAUUAUAAUUUAAUAUAGUUUAUAUAAAUUUAAUUUAAUUUUUUUAGUUAUAAUUAUAAUAAAUUAAAAAUAUUUAAUUUUAUAAAUAUAAAUGUAAAUCAAUAUCCCCAAAUUAAAAUAUGUAAAUUGUGUUUUUUUAUUUUUAACAAUUUUUUAUUAUAUUAUUGGCAUAUGUAAUUAUUGGUUUAUGAAUCUAAUUUAAUGAGUUUCUUAAAAGAUAAAGUAUAACGUAGUUUUGAGAUAAUCAAAAUGCCUUUAUUUUGUUUUUUUUUGCUAAUAAUAAUUUGAUCUUAACGUUUGAUUUUGUUAACAGAUUAAUACCUACAGUCUAACUUGAUUAAUAGCUCCAUUGACUACUUUCAUUUUAAAAUAAUUUAUUUUAUAAUUUUUUUAUCAACAUAAUAUGUAAUAUUUAAACCUAAUUUUUUUAUUUUAAUAAUUAUAUAUUUCAUCUAAAUACAAUUUAAAAUACUUUUUUUAAUAAUUAUAAAAAUAAUUGAUUAAUUAAAUUUAUAUGCAAACACUGUUUUAUUAAUAAUUAAAUUAUUUCAAUUUAAACAUAAAUUAAAUUAACAAAAUCAAAUUUUAAAGACUAAAAAUAAAUUACAGAAAUCUCAAUUCUCACGGGACUUUUCCCAAUUCUUAUUUCAAAAAAGACGAAUUAAUAUGGGACUUUUGACACAUCUCAAUGACAAAAAUUUUCAUCAAUAUUAACUAUACGGCCGCGUAGACUUAAUUUAACAUUCUGAUGAUAAAACAUAAAAUCAUUAAUUAUUCAUUUUAAAUUAUAUAUUUUUUACGGUUAGCUUCCAAUACCAUAGUGCAUACAAAUUUCAAUUAAUAAACUAAAAUUCAUGGUAUAUUUUUUAUACCGUUUAAUUCUUUAAUAAAUACAUUACUAAUAAUUUAAGUAACAGUAUCUUCAUAAAAAUAUGUUACAGCAGGUUGACAAUGAUUUAAAAUUGUUAUAAAAAAAUUUAUGUAAAUGAUAUAUUUUAAUAAAAAAUUAUUUUAUAUUUAAUAAAAUUAUAAUUUUAACUACACUUUUUAUCCGUCACACAAAAUAAUUAAAUCACUACUUAGUUUUAACAAGAAAAAAAAAUAUAUAAUAAUCCCAUUGUAAACAAGCAAUAGAAAAACCACAUUCUAAAAAUGAAAGAAAUUACAAUAUUAAUCCCAUUGAUGUGGAUCCAAUUCAUCCUCACGUUUUUUCCUUCCAGAAAUUAGUUCUUUAUGCAUCCACUGCUUUCUUCUAAAUAUUCCAAGAUUUAAAUUAAUGCUACAGUAUAACAUGAUCUUUCCAACUUGAUUCUUUAAAUCACAUAUAAAAACAUUAAUGCCAAAGAAACCAUAAACACACCUGAAUCUGACUCACAUUUAUUUGAUUCAUUCAGUAUAGGCAACAGCAUUUGUCAAUCAAACCCAUUUCCAGGAAAGACUACGCAAAUAAAAAGAAACAAAGAUCCCAUCAUCUCAACUGAUCAUGGCUGUAUUGGGGUACUAAAACCAGACAAAACAUUACCAAUAAAAGGCAUUAGCUAUAAAUAACGCAGAUGAUCACCAGCUAAAAUUACUUCACAAUGAAGUUCUGGCGACUGAUUGGAUUCAUCACAACUGGAGAACAUAUUCAUCUAUGUUAUUAAAAAACAAAAACAAACAACAUCCCAAGCUUUCUCAAUGGUGUGGGCUUUUACCACAUUUCCGAAAGCUUUAGAUCUGACUCUUAAGUUCAACUCGGCUGUGGUUCUCAGGAAAUCUAGAAUUGAAAAAGAACUGAAUUUAUAGAAAUCAAGCUAAAUUUAUGUUACUUCUUGAUCUGAUUCCAGUUCUUUACCAAAAUCUGAAUAUAAAACAAAUAUAACCUGAACCAAAGCCAAAACCUAGUGAACAAAUAUAUAUGCAAUUACAAUGAAUUUCAUUAUAAUUAAUUAGGGGGUAAAUUUUACCCAUGGUACCUAAACUUCAAUUGAAGUAACCAAAAAACCACAUUUCACCUAUUAGCGAGUUUAGAGGUUAAAAUAAGUUAAUUUAUUAUUUAAUUUUUAAAUACAGUUAAAUAUUACUUCAAUAUCCUCAUGUAAAAAUAUCUCUUCUCUCAUUCAUCCCUUUUCCCUCCCACCCAGUUGUCCUCCACCCAUUCUCUAAAUGAACUCUUUCAUAAAGCUUCUUCAGCACCACUGAGCUUAAUGAAGUCGGGCAAAAUAUUGAAGCAAUCUUCCAGAGUAUACUUGAAUUGAAAAAGAAAUAAAUAACAGAAGGGAAAAAGCUAAUUCCUAAUUAUGAUGUGAUGUAGCUAUUUACCAUGAGGUCAAGCUUCUGCAAUGGUGGUAUAACUGAGAUCUUUUGCCAAAACAAAAGACACCUCUCACAGACAUUCAACUCCAGAGAUCCAAAACCCCUAUCAUCUCAGUGGGUCAACCACUGUCUAAAGGUAAAAAACUCCCUCUCAAGGUUUAGUUUCUCAGAUUUCAUCAUUCUCUAUUUGGGACACUUGCUAGCUGAUGAAUGUGUAGAAUACUUUGCUUCAAUGUUAUAGUAGUUGAUGCUUUUUUUUUUAUGGGCUCCAUGGAAUGGUUUGUGUAAAGAUAGAUUUAUGAAGUGGGCCUCGGUAAAUUUCACAAUCUAAUGGAUGGAAAAUUGAGCUGAAGGGAAGCUUUAUUCUAUUGAAGGAAGAUAGUAUUGGUUUAAUAAGGGUGUUCUGAGUAUCUCAGUAAGCGGUCUGAAAACCUUUUACAAUAUGUUUGGAUGGAGCGAAAGGAGUUUUUAAAAUGAAGAUAAACUAAUGGAAAGUAAGGUAAUAAAACCUCUAUAACCCACCAAUUUGGUACUUUGGAAAAGUGAGUUUUUGGAGGUUCUAAACGUCUGGAAACCUUACCUCCUUUAAACUAAUAAAAAAAAAAGUCUCCCAAACAAACUCACUACUUUACAAAUCCACAUCUUACUUCCAAAACAUCCACCCAAACAAAUUAAUGUUUUUGGAAUUUCUCAACACGUGUUACAGGGAUUUAGAAUGAGAAAUGGGUGACAUUGGCAAUUGAAUUAAAAAUGUUUCAAUCUUUUUAGCAGUUCAACUUAUUGUCUGGAGCUUGAAAAUUAAUGGCUGAACUGUUGUGAGUCAUCAUUUCUAUAUGAUAUCAUAGCAAGGAAAUUUGCAAUUGAAGAAAAAGUUGAGAUAAGAAUUUUUGUGCAGUUAUUAUAAAAAAUGCAAAUCCCAGAAUUUACAGUAUAUAAGUAACAUCACCAUUUGAUGUUUUGUGAUUAAGAUUGUUCAUUUCUCUAUGAAUAUUUGUUUACAUUUUGGAGUUCUAAUUUUAUUGUUUUCCAUUGUUAAUUUUGAUUGUGUUAUCCAGAUACAUUGCCAGAGCCCAGAGGUGAUAAUGUUGUUGUGUAGAUUUAAGCCUUUUUUAUAUAUUUUUUUUCUUUUGGUAAUGGUUUUGUAGAUUAACCGGCUUUCUUUGGACAUGAAGGUAGAUACUUUUGAUAAAUUAGCUGACAACUUUGGGGCUACAUGACAAGCUUCUUUUUGUCUGUAUGUUUGGAGGAAGUAUAACAGGUUUCUAGUUGAUAUUGCUAUCAUGCCUUCUUUGAAAUAAGUUCUCUGCAUAUUUUCCUUUUUCAAUCAUUUGUAUGAUUUAACUGAAACCUAAUCCAACAUAUCCCACCAAUCUGCUUAUUGACCUAUAGCCUAAGAAUAAGGAAGUCGAUUCCCUUAUAUCUUAACUGUGCAUAAGGAACUCAAAAUCUAUAGACUACAAGUGAUGUGUUGCAAGGUGUUUCGACCAAUUGAAAUGCUAAAAUAGUAGCAUCCGAUAAUAUGUUAUAUUCUUCUCUGUAUAUUAAUUUACGGAUUUACAUAAUUUAUUUCAUUGGGCAGAAAUCUCCCCUAUUAGAAUAAUAUAAAAAAGACCAUACAACUCAUGAAUCUCAAACACCACUGCCAUCCUAGAGUGAAGAAAAAAUGCAAAUGCCGUCACUUAUGAAAAUUGAGCUCAAAUAUUCACAUAGAAAAAGUGGAUCCAGGGAAAACAAAUCUUAACAAAGGAAAGCAAGUCCACAAACAACCCAAAUAAAACAGUAGAUGAUGUAAUGUAAGCCACAAUCUCAGCAAAUCAGAAAACCCCGAAUAUUAGCAAUCUAUGAAUCUGAACACCCAAAGUUAACAAUCUUUGAAUCUGAAAACCCAAAAUUAACAAUCUCAGCAAAUCCUCUGAAUCCGAUACUUCAAUAUCAAGACAUAAUCGAAAAUGAAGUGCUUAGAGAACCAGCAAAACUGAGAAAGUAAUAAAAUUAACAACCUCCGCAAAUCUGAAAACCCACUAACCUGCGGUGAUGUAAUCGGGACCGUGAGUGGACGUUGAAGGAUUAUGAGCAAUUAAACACACACUAACCUGAAAUCCAAACCACAAGAACACAAAUCUCAGCAACCUCGAACCCAUAGAAUCCCAAACCCACAAACAUAGCAACACAAACCAAGAGAAACAUAACCUGCAGAAACAGUAGCAGCGGGGGCAACUGAGAGGAGCCCGAGAGAGAGAGAGAGAGAGAGAGAGAGAGAGAGAGAGACCGCGAAGAGCCGGGGGGUGAGAUCGAGAGGAGAGGGAGGGAGACCGAUUGUCAGGGUUUAGAAUGUUUGUUUCUACUUUGACGUUUUUACUAGGAAGAAUUAUUAUUUAGGUACCAUAUAAUUACAAAAUUUAUGAGUUAAUUUAUCAAUUUAACAAAAUAUCUGAAAAAUAAUUUAUAUUUAAAAAAAAAAUUUUAAUAUAUUUUUUAAAUAAUUUAUUUUUUAUUAUUUAAUUUUAAUUUAAAAAUAAAUUUUAUUAAUAAAUUUAUAUAUAAAAGUUUUAAUAAAAAUUUUUUGAUGAAAAAUUAUUUUUUUAAAAUAAUUUAUUUUUUAUUAACUAAAUUUUUUAAAUAUUUUAUAGAUUAAAAAAUAUUAAAAAAUAUUUUUAUAAAAUAAACAUAGUCCAAAACAUUAUUAGUGUUAUAAAAACUCUCAUUAAUUUAUGCUAUGAGUACUUUUAUUAUUAGCAAUCAAGAAUUUCAUGGUUUUAUUGAAAAUAUAAAGUAAUUUCCUAUAAAUUAAUUCUUUAAUAUAUUCUUAUGGUUUUUUUAUCUUAUCUAUGAUUAUAAUAAUUUGUUCAUAUGUUUAAUAUUAUUUAUAAUUUUUUAAAUGAGAUGUUAAGAAUAAAUUUGGUAUUUAGUAUAAAGAAAAAAGAAAAGGUAAUUUCAACUCUUUUUAUUUAGUAAAAUUUUCUUUUAUAUUUUAUAACAAAAUUUGAAUUUAAAUAUUUAUAAAUUUCUAUGGUAUUUUAUUUAUUUCAAUAGUUAUUGAACUCUUUUCUAAGAUUUAAAUAAUUUAUUUUUUAAUUUAUAAAUAGAGAUUUAAUGCCGUUAUAGUUUUAGGGAUUAAGUGACUAUUUUAAAAAAUUUGUGGAUUUAAAUAGUUAUUAUAAAAUAUUUAAAAGUUUAUAUGAACCUUUUUUUUUAAGAGUUUAAAUGAUUUUUUAGUAAUUUUUGAAGGGUUUAAAAGAAUUUUUUUGCUCUUCUUUAAAAUAUUGUUUAUAAAAGCAAUAAUAAAAUCAUAAAAUUUAUAUUUAAAUAAUUUUUAUUAGCAUAGUAGUUAUAUAAAGAUAAUGAUCACUUUCAUAAAUUUAGUGUCGUAUUAACAUAUGUAAACUAAUAAUAAAUAUUAUUAUUAUUGUUAUUAUUAUUAUUAUUAGAAUGACAGAUAUAUAUAGCAUAUGAAUAUUAACAACAAAGUAAUAUAGAGAAGGGAAGAUAUACAUAUUAGAAAAAAUAUUAUUUAAUUCUUAUAAUAUAAAAAUUUAUUAGCUAGUUCUUCUAUUUUAAAAAAUAUAUUUAAAUAUUCUUAACAUUAUAAAAAAAUUUACUAUACUUUUUUCAUUAAUUUUGACGGUAAUUAUUUUAUUAUUUAAUUUUUAUAAUUUAAAAAAAUUUAUGAGUUGGUCUUUUAAAUUUUUAAAAAAAAUUAUUAAUUAGCCCCUUAAUAUUAAGAGUAUUUUAGACUUUUUAUAAUAUGAUUAAAACUAACGGAGAGACUAACUAGUAAAUUUUUUAAAAUAUUAAGAAUAUUUUAAUGUAUAAUCUGAUAUCCAGAGAAAAUAGGGUUUUACAAGGUUUUUAGAAUAAUAAAAAACUUAGAGCUUAGGGGAAGAUCAUUCUCCUUUUAUUUCUUUUUCUCUUAUGCCAGUGACGUGCAACGGCCUGACUAUCAUUGGACCACCUGUCUCUGCCAUAUUGAUACGAUUGUACGAGGAUAUCCGGUAUCUGUCUCGUGCGUAACAGCCUCUGAUUCCCUUCGUGCGUGUGUAAAUGGGUCUACAAGGCUAAAGGUGGGACUUUCUUUCCGAUUCUGGGCUGGACCGGGAGAUAGGAAUAAUAUUGAGCCCAAGGAGGAUCAGCCUGAGAAGCAGUGAGGGCUGGGCCGGCCUGAGAGGCAAUGGGAACUGGGUCGGCCUGGUUGAGAAAUCCAUAUGGACCCUGUAUCAAGGCACAAACGGGCUGGACCUAUUUGUAUUGGGGUCGCGUGGGCCUCCGAGUGAUGGGUCGUGAUUGAGGCUUGAUCCCUGACCGGGGUGGAGAAAUCCAGCGGUCAUCAAUUGCCCCUUUACCUUCUCGGCAGUUAUUGCCCCAACUGUCGAGGGGGUAAACAUCAAGAAUCAUUAUGACCGCGCCUGUUUGAAUUCAGCUUGCUCCAUAACGCCCUUUCAUUUUUUUGUCACUUGUAGCUUUAAAUCCUCUCUGUCUUUUUUCUAUUUCUAGCUUUUCUCUGUUCUUCGUGCAUAUUGUUGUCUUCACUUUCUUGCCUUUAUCUUCCAGGUACGCUUUCUUUCCUUUCUUUUGAAUAGCCUUUAAGGAUUCUGAUGUCGCUAGCCUAGAGUAUAACGUCGCCCUGUCUCACAUUAAAAUCUCAGCCUCCGGCUAUAUAUCAAUAACACCUCCUUCUCAGCCUCAGGCUCUUUAUCGGGACAAAGGGAUCCCUCUUUCCGAUUCUCCUCCCUCUGGUUCAAUCGAUCUUCAGAAAGGUGCAAGUUUAGUUUUUUUUGUCAUGUGGAAGAGGUAUGGUUUAUCCUUCCCUUAUCUCCUUCUUUCAACGGGGUUUUCCAAUAUUUCGGGAUUGUUUCUCGGACGCUAGCCCCUGAUUUCACUCUCUUUAUGUUUUCUUUCGAAUCUGCUCUGUCUUUCAUGGGGGUCUGCUCUAACAUUGCUUUUGUGAUUUUUGCAGCCUUUGGGGUAAAGAUGAAUCGAAUUAAGCCCCCUAAGAUUCUUACGCCGCCCAUAGGGAGCUUGAACGUUGCUUCAGAUGUCUUCCUAACGGGGUGAUUAGCGGGGGAGGUUACUCGACGAGUCGCCAAAAUCAUGUUUUUCAGGUCGUCCAGACGGCCUCCUCCCCUUGCUCCUGUCUGAGCUCCGAAACCGAGUUUUCGCGGUGCCGAAUCUUUAAGGCGGCCAAGUAUUGACAAGUCCGUUUCAGCCGUGCUGGUUGUUCAAGCUCUCAGGUUCUCUCGGGCUUCAGGGCCGAGCGAGGACUCCGGUUUGACGACAGCGAAGCCUGCCCCGUCUUUUGGCGAUACUUCUGGAGAGAGGCCUGAGGCCUUUAUAGCUGAGAUGAGGACCCUUGCAAGCUGGGCUGAGAUCGCCUCUGCGAGGAAUGUUUAUGGGGUCCCUUCCGAGGUCGGUCCGACUGACGAGGAUAGGGAACCCGACUUUGUGGAUGCUGGGGGUGUAGCGGAGAAGGUCGGAGGCAAGUGUCCUAUUCUCCUCAAAGUGUUUGUCUUGGUUCGUGCUCCAAAGAAGUCUUGGGCUUCCGGAAGAUCGGCUCCUGUCUUUCUUUCUCCCGGGGAGGAGGAGAGGAUUCUCGUGGUGCCCCUGAUGUCUGCUCCUGACUCAAACUCAUGGAAUAACAUGGUUUCUGAGGCUUAUUAUGGGAUACAAGAUGCUGUUUACACACGUAAUAUUAGCAAGGGUAAUCUGAUAAAAUUAGUCCAACAUAGUAUGUGUGUAGAUUUGCAACAUUCACUUGUUCCAUUGCUCUUCAGAAUGCCUCGCCAAUUUUCCUCGGCUUGCUCAAGUGUAUCGUGCAUCACACUUGGGCGUCAGGAAGCCUGCCUAUGACGGAACAGUGAGAGAUGCUUAUGGGGAUUAACUUGUUCAACUCUCCUAUAAUAACGAGAUAGAAUUCGGUUGGUGAGUAGGGGACCUCUAAGGGAUUAGAAAGAGUCCGCCGAGCUAAAAGGGGAACAGGGUAGAUAAUAGCGCCUCUGGUUGUGUAAGUCCUUUGAGGACAGCUCUUUCUUCAGUGGAGUAGGCACUUGUAACAUGCUAUAAAUGUACUUUUCUUUUAAUGAAACUUUAGUUUUACUUAUUUUGCUUGCUGUUUCAACUUCAUCGGACUACUUAUUCUGUUAAACAGUCUGACUUGUUUAAAUUUUAAAGAUUUGACAAGAAACACUUAAGCUGUGCUUAAUAAACUUUGUAAAGAAUUGACUACAUCGUUUUUCAUCCCUUUGUCUCUCAGCUAAUAAGGCUGAAAAUUUUAACCAGGGAUUUAGUCUCUGACUCAUAAACUUUUCUUUUUUCACAAGGCAUUCUUAUCCGUAAGCUCUUUCCGAGCUGGGUUGGCCGCACUUUACGAGCUCUGUUUUUAACAGUGACAAGGCGUUCAAUUUACAAGUUUUUAUCCUUGUUACUUUAUUAAUGUAAGAUCGGGCGUAUAGCCUUUGCUGAGUAAUAAUGAGUCAAAUCAUGUACCUGUCGCGAUGAUGAGCAGGGCUCAUCUUUCUGCCUUUAGUUCUGUCUUGACAGGGACUGGAGCUGAGGUUUUAUCUGCUUCGUGCCAUUGGAUUUUCCUCAGAUUGCCCCCUUUACUUCCUCAGUAUUUAUUACAUGAAUAGUGAGGGAGUAAAUCCCUGUACUUUAUUUGUACUUGCACGGCUUUCUUUUAGGCGAUUUUACUUUGCUUUCUGGUUGUGAGCUUGGAUGUCUGGUCCUCCUCGAGGUGAUCCUUCGUCAGGCGGUGCAACUUAAUCUGCGUGCUCCAUUGGGACGGGGAGGUCGGCCUUUGUCAUUUUCCUUCUUCUUGGGUUAUUCUUGCUAAAUGUUUGUUCAUGGCAAACUGACUCGUGCUGUGAGCACAGUCCUUUGCCCUCGUUUAUCCUCUUAUAUGUUCCUGCAUUUAUAGGCCUUUUCAUAGAGGGAGCUCGGUUCUCUGUUAUUUUCUCUAUACUUAGCUUCAUUCUACCUGAGUGUUGCAUGUUGCGAGUCUAUCCGAGCUGGGAGCUCGGUUCUUUGUUCUUUACUUAGGCUUUUAUGCCUACAGUCUGUAACGCCUCUUGUAUCGCUAGCUCGGGAGUUCAGAAUUUCGCUUUGGUGCCCCGAGCUCGUUUGUGAGGUCGGACUUGGUUUGGGAGCUCGGUUCCUUGCCCUAUGCUUAGGCUUUUAUGCCUACAGUCUGUGAUGCUUCUUGUACCCCUGAGUAUUUUCCGGGCUCUUUGCUGUUUAGACCUUUCUCUAGGCUAGUUGAGCUAGUUCAGUUCCAGCGGUCAAUUCGUGAGGUUGAUGUAGUACCGAGCUCAUUUUUUGAGGUCGGCAUGGGGCUGUGGCGCUCUUGGCUAUUGUGCCCCGAGCUCCUUCGGGAGGUUAGAAUCUGGUUUUUCAUUGGUAGCUUAGGACUCAUCUUUCACGUGAGAUCGGAGCUGUGUUUUUAUGAGUUGUCCCUGCACAUGAUAUUGAGAAUUUUUGCGCCGGGAGGCCCUUAAGACCUUCACCGACCGUUUUUGUUUUGUUUUCCCGGGAGUUCUAGGGGAUCCCGUUCUUCUUUGUUUUCCCGGGAGUUCUAGGGGAUCCCAGUCUUCUUUGUUUUCCCUAGAGUUCUAGGGGAUCCCGGUCUUCGUGCUCCGGGAAGUCUUUUAAGAUCCUCACCGGCCGUUUUUGUUUUGUUUUUCCGGGAGUUCUAAGGGAUCCCGGUCUUCUUUGUUUUCCCGGGAGUUCUAGGGAAUCCCGGUCUUCGUGCUCCGGGAGGUCUUUUAAGAUCCUCACCAACCGUUUUUAUUUUGUUUUCCCGGGAGUUCUAGGGGAUCCCGGUCUUCUACCUCUGAGGUCUCUAUGUCUCAGGGUCUUCAGUGCCAGGAGAUCAUGGGGAUCCUGGACUUGUAUCCGGGAGAUCUUGGGGAUCCCGGUCUUCUACCUCUGAGGUCUCUAUGUCUCAGGGUCUUCAUAUUCUGUUCUUUCUUUUUAAAAGAGAAGUGACAUUCAUAAUACAGAUAACAUCAUUGGGUAAAGAAUGUCGUUAUUUUAUUCAUUUGUGUUUUUCAGAGUACAAUAUUUUUCUUUACAAAUAUUUCAAGGGAAAUACCUCUUCAAGUGCUAGAUAUUCCAGGCAUGGGGCUCAGGGUUUCCCUGCAUAUCUUCAAUUCGGUAUACUCCUGGCCUAACCACUUUUGCUAUCCUGAAUGGGCCCUCCCAGGUCGGUGCCAACUUGCCCACUGCCGCUCUUUUUCCCGUAGCUUCCAAGUUUCUUAGGGCUAGGUCCCCUACCUUUAAACUUCUUUCCCUGACCCUUUGGUUGUAGUAAUGGGCUGCCCGUUGUUGAUAAGCAGCAGUUCGGACUUGAGCUUCCUCCCUAAUUUCUUCGAGAGCAUCCAAUUUGCUCCUUAAUUUAUCGUCGUUAGUGUUCUCGUUAACAAAUUGGACUCGAUGAGUGGGGAUUUACAGCUCGACUGGGACUACGGCCUCUGUGCCGUAAGCAAGUGCAAAGGGCGUUUCUUUAGUGGACGCUCUAGGGGUAGUUCGGAGUGCCCACAGGAUACUGUUGAGCUCUUCUGCCCAGUUCGCCUUUGCCCCAUCCAGUCAUUUCUUUAAUCCUUGGAGGAUAGCUCUGUUGGUAACCUCUGUUUGACCAUUAGUUUGAGGAUGGGCUACGGAGGAGAAUUUGUGCCAUAUGCCCACGUUCGUCGUAAAUGCUCUGGAGGUGCUGCAAUCAAAUUGUCUGCCAUUGUUAGAUAUGAGCACUCUCGGUAUGCCAAACCUGUAGAUGAUGUUUCCCCAUACGAAGUCUAUCAUCUUGCGAGCUGUGAUCGUGGCUAUUGCUUCCGCCUCUGGCCAUUUUGAGAAGUAUUCUACAGCCACCACCACGAAUUUUCUCUGCCCCGUGGUCUUGGGGAAGGGUCCCAGGAUGUCUAUUCCCCAUUGCGAGAAUGGCCAUGGACUGGAUAUGCUGGCUUGAGGAGUGGCUGGGACUUUGAUGGCGUUAGCAAAUCUUUGGCAUACGUCGCACCUUCGGACAAACUCUUCUGCUUCUCUUUUAACAGUGGGCCAGUAGUACCCUUGCCUGAAUAUUUUAUUGGCUAAUGUCCCUGUCCCUUCGUGAGCUCCGCACAUUCCCCUGUGUAUCUCUUCCAUCACCUUUGUAGCCUCUUUCGGGCUCACACACCGGAGCCACGGGCUGGAUUUCCCUUUUCUGUAUAAGGUCCCCCUUACUGCUUGAUAGUUGGCAGCACGAGCUGCUAUCUUUCUGGCUUCGUCCUUAUCCUUGGGGAGCUUUUCCUUCUCCAGGUAUUCUAGGUAUGGGGUCAUCCAAGUCGGGCUUUGUUCCACCUGCAGUACCGUGUUUGUUUUACUAAAAGCAGGCGUAUGGACGUGUUGUAUGUACACUUCAUCGGGGAGCUGUUCUAAUUCUUCUUUGGACAACUGACUAAGCAAGUCUGCUUCCUCAUUUUCUUCCCGUGGUAUUCUUCGAAAUUUGAUUGUAACUCCCCGAUCUAUGAGUUCAGCCUCUAUUGCUUUUACUUUUGCCAGGUAGCUCUGCAUGGUUGGAUCUCUGGCCUGAUAUACCCCAGUUAUCUGAUUGACCACCAGUUGUGAGUCGCUAUUUACUUCGAGGUCGGUUGCCCCUACCUCCAUUACCACCAGUAUCCCGUUUAUUAGGGCUUCAUACUCCGCCAUAUUAUUGGAGGCUUUAAAUUCUAAGCGUAGGGCGUAGCAAACCUUAAAUUCUCCGGGCCCCUUAAGCAUUAUUCCAGCACCGCUGCCUCCGGCGCCUGAAGCUCCGUCUACAUAUAACUUUCAGCUGAACUUUUGGGAGAGUUCUUCCUUUCUUUCCUUCCCCGAUACUUCUGAAGAUGAUUCUCCUUGUUCCUCACUGAAUGUGCACUCUGCUAUGAAGUCGGCAAGGGCCUGAGAUUUUAUAGCUGUUCGAGGUCGAUACUCUAGGCAGUAGGGACUAAUCUCAAUGGAUCACGCUAGCAUCCAGCCUGAGGUCUCUGGUCUAUGCAGAAUCUUCUUCAAAGGUUGAUCUGUCAUUACUACUCCUUGGUGGCUUUCCAGAUAAACCCUAAACUUUCGGACUGCCAGUAGUAGAGCGUAUGCUAUCUUCUCAAUAUUCAAAUAUCUGACCUCGGCAUCUUUAAGCACCUUGCUGACAUAGAAAAUAGGCUUCUGCUCUCCUUCUUCCACCCUUACUAAUACGGUGCUGACUGCUUGUUCAGAGGCUGCCAGGUAUAUCAGAAGUUCCUCGCCUUCUAUGGGACUACUAAGCACGUGAGGCGAGCUGAGAUAACUUUUGAGUUCUUUGAAGGCUUCUCGACAGUCUUCUGUCCAUUCGAAGUUUGGCAUUUUCCUCAACUUCUUGAAGAACGGUAAACACUUUUCUGCCGACCUCGACAUGAAUCGAUUAAGUGCCACUACUCUCCCGGUCAGUCUCUGGACGUCCCUCACACAUGUCGGUUCUGGCAUAUUCAAUAUGGCCUCUACCUUCUCCGAGUUGGGCUCGAUGCCUUUCCCACUCACCAUGUAUCCCAGGAAUUUUCCUCCUCUGAUGAAGAAGGCGCAUUUCACUGGAUUCAGCUUCAUUCUGUACUGAUCUAAUAUUCCGAAUACCUCCCUCAAAUCUGCCACGUGCUGUUGGAAAGUUAGGCUCUUGACCACCAUAUCGUCCACAUAAACUUCUACGUUUCUGCCGAUCUGAUCUUUGAAGAUUUUGUUUAUCUGUCUUUGGUAAGUUACCCCGGCGUUUUUCAAUCCGAAAGGCAUGGCUCUAUAGCAAUAAGUCCCAUCUUUUGUUAUGAAUGAGGUCUUUUCUUCAUUCGACCUGUCCAUUGGGAUUUGAUGAUAACCAGACAUUACGUCCAAAGACGACAUAUAAUCGAAGCCGGCCGUAGAAUCAACCAUUUUAUUAAUAUCAGGGAGGGGAUAACAAUCUUUAGGGCAAGCUCGAUUCAGGUCAGUGAAAUCUAUACACAUCCUAUAUUUGCCAUUGGCUUUUUUGACUAGUACAGGAUUAGCUAACCACUGCGGGUACAUGACUUCCCUAAUAAAGCCUGCCUCUUCUAACUUCUGCACUUCCUCCCUGGUGGCUUGUUGCUUCUCCCUUCCUACCACCCUCUUCUUCUGCUUUACCGGCCUGGCUUCGGGGAGGACGUUCAGCUUAUGGGUUAUCACUUCAGGAUCAAUUCUGGGGAUGUCAGAAGGCUUCCAGGCGAAGCUUGACGCGUGACUUCGGAUCAAGGCCAUGACCUCGGUUUUCUGUUCUUUGAUGAGGCCGGCGUUAAGACUAAAGACUUUAUCUGUUUCUGCUUCUGUUAAAGGAAAAGUCUCCAGUUCCCCCACCGGCUCUGUCCUGGCUUCUGUUUUCUCGUCUCGGACCUCCAGGACUUCUAAAUCCAGCCUAUCUUCUAUUGAGCUCGACUCUGCCACCGUAGCUAGGUACACUGCCCUUGCUUCCUCCUGGCUUCCUUGAACUAUUCCCACCCCUGCCUCUGUUGGAAACUUCAUUGCCAGAUAUCUGAUACUGGUGACGGCCUCAAAGUCAAACAGCGCAGGUCUUCCCAUGAUCGCGUUGUAGCUCAAGGGGAGUUUAGCCACCAGGAACACCGUAUAAUGGGUGCGAGUCCUUGGUGCUUCUCCUAAAGUAAGGGCUAGCUUUACUUUCCCUUCCACCUUUACUGGCGUUCCUCCAAUUCCUUUAAUCGGGGCCUGAUCCCGAACCAGCUGCUCUUCGGGGAUUCCCAUUUGCUAGAAGACUUGAUAAGGUAGCAGAUUCACCUUGCUCCCGUCAUCCACCAAGAUCUUCUUUACCCGGUAGUUGUGAAUGACAGCUUCAAUGACAAGGGCGUCGUCAUGGGGCAUCUGAACACCCUGGGCAUCCUCUGGGGAGAAAGUGAUGACCGUUGGAGAGUGUAUGACGACCUGCAUGACCUCAGCGCUGCUGCUUUCUCCCUCUCUACUCCUCUUUUUCCCCCUUCGACUCAUCCGACCUCCUGUGCCUCCGACGAUCAUAUUGAUGGUCCCGCUGGACCCGUCGUUUACGGGGUUAACUCCCGUUCUCCUCGGCGCUUGGACUGCCGGAUUGGGCUGGGGUCUCUGUCCUUCUGGUUUCUUCAUGAAGUUCUUCAGGUGUCCCCUUUUUAUCAGCCUCUCGAUUUUCGUGAUCAACUGAAACAGUUAUUGGUGUCGUGACCAUGAGUACGAUGGAACUGACAGUAUUUGUUAGGAUUUCGCUGGUCGGCUUCCGUUCUCAGGGGUCUGGGCCACUGAAAGAGUUCUUUAUCUUGGACGGCCAUGAGCACUUCGGCUCUAGAAACGUUGAGGGGAGUCGGUGUUUCUGGGACCCACGAGGGGAGUGACCUUUGUUCUGAGGCCCGAUGAGGGAGAGGUCUUUGGUCCCUUCGCUCCCAGGGCUGUCUGUAAGGCUUAGGCCUUUUGCCAUGUCUCUUCUCUUGCUUCUCCGGCCUCCUUUCCUCCGGGGUUUUCUCCUUACCUGCCACUCCCUUGGCGAAUCGGCUUGUCACCAAGGCGUCAUCCUGCCUUAUAUACUUAUCGGCCCGUUUCAUCAACUCGGCCAGUGAGGUCAGAGGCUUCCUAUUUAAUGAGCCAAAGAACUCUGCUGAGGUCGUCCCCUUCUGCAUGGCUUCUACAGCCCUUCCUUCAUCGAGCUCGGAGAUCUGCAGGGCCUCCGUAUUGAAACGAGCUACGUACUCCCUGAGUGAUUCGUCUCUUCUCUGCCUGAUUGUCUCCAGGUAGCUCGUCUUCCUAUCUGCGGGCACUCCGGCAAUAAACCGGCUGAUGAAGCGAGUGGCCAGAUCCCCAAAACUGUUGAUACUCCCAGCCUCGAGGCUGUUGAACCACGCCCGUGCUGUCCUCGAGAGCGUCAUUGGGAAUGCCUUGCACAUCAAGGCAUCUGAUAGAGUCUGCAGCUCCAUGAAAGUCUUGAGUCUUGUAGUUGAGGACAUGCUCUCGGGGGUUUCCGGCUCCAUCAUAAGCCGCCAUUGAUGGCAUCAUAAACUUCUUAGGAACAGUCUCCUGUUGCACCCACUUCGAGAAAGGUGAAGAAGUGGGCAGGAAGGUUUGGCUCUGAUCCUUCUUUCCCAGUUCAGCCAAGAGCUGCUCUCUCAGCUUUUGCAGCUUUUGGUCUACAUUCUCAUCUUCCAGCCUGGGUUUCUUCUCCAGGUGGUAUUCCUCCUCCUCUGCUUCACUUCUCGUUCACCCGGUUGUCUCGGCGGAAUAGUUGUCAGCCUCAUCAUUCUCUAUCAUCUCCCUCACCCUCCUUCCAUGGACUCGGGCCUCCGGCUCUUCCUCUUCCCCGGCUCUUCUCCCCUUUUCUCCGGUACUAUGGCUGUUGGUUUGGAGGCGGUCAAGGGCAGGUUGGGGCUCAUUGGUUUGGGGUUCUUCUACCACUGGGAGUGUAUUUAUCGGGGUGCUGAGGCCCCUUUGUUGCAUUAUCUGCCCCAACCAGUGGACGGUGUUCUGUAGUUGGAGGGCCAUGGUUUGAAGGUCCUAGUUAGAUAAGGUGGUGGUGGGAGCAUUCCCUGCCAAGCUUGGCGAGGGAUCGAGAGGAAUAGGUGUUUGGUUAUUUAGUGUUGUAGGACUAGAAAAGGAGAACUGCUGCCCCUCCUGGGCAGAGCUCAGGUCAUUUGGGAUGUUAAGAUUGCUUUCAUUGCGAUUGGCCAUCGUGGAUCUCAGUGGGUUUUAUUAAGAGUGGAACUCCGGUGAUGAAAAGAUCUCCUUUGUUCCCACAGACGGCACCAAUUGAUAAUUUGAGAUCCAGAGAAAAUAGGGUUUUACAGAGGUUUUUGGAAUAAUAAAAAACUUAGUGCUUAGGGGAAGAUCAUUCUCCUUUUAUUUCUUUUUCUCCUAUGCCAGUGACGUGCAAUGGCCUGGCUAUCAUUGGACCACCUGUCUCUGCCAUAUUGAUACAAUUGUACGAGGAUAUCCGGUACCUGUCUCGUGCGUAACAGCCCCUGAUUCCCUUCGUGCGUGUGUAAAUGGGUCUACAAGGCUGAAGGUGGGACUUUCUUCCCGAUUCUGGGCUGGACCGGGAGAUAGGAAUAAUACUGAGCCCAAGGAGGAUCAGCCUGAGAAGCAGUGAGGGCUGGGCCGGCCUGAGAGGCAAUGGGAACUGGGUCGGCCUGGUUGAGAAAUCCAUAUGGACCCUAUAUCAAGGCACGAACGGGCUGGACCUAUUUGUAUUGGGGUCGCGUGGGCCUCCGAGUGAUGGGCCGUGAUUGAGGGCUUGAUCCCUGACCGGGGUGGAGAAAUCCAGCGGUCAUCAAAAUUAAAAUUUUUUUUGGAUUAAAUAGUAAUUUUUUUUCUAUAAAAAAAUAUUUAAAGAAAAGAGAAAUCAAACUCUAAUUAUUAGGAGAUUUUAAAUAUACUUUUUUAAUCCGUCCAGUGGAUGGUGAACUUAUGUAAAAAAUAUCAUAAUAGAAUGAUCAAAAGAUAUAAGUAUAUAAUAAAAAAAUAUUAAAAAUAUGUUUUAAAGUUUACAAACUGUGUAUUGUUUAAUUUAUUAAAUUUCAAAUCAUACUAAAAAUACCACUAAUAUGUAAAAAUAUAUUAGUAGUUUAUUAAUAUACUUUAACAUAAUCCGAACAGGUGAUAUUUAUGAAUUAUUCGAAUCUAUUCCAUUAAAACACAAGAAAAUUAAGAAAGAAAAAGAAGUGGAUAAACAUACAGCUUUUGAUGAUGUGAAAGAUGAAUAUAGCUACAUCCAUAUUCUGAUUUGAGUGACUUAAGCAAACUGGGUUGACGAUUUGCAAUUCUCCAUGCAUAGGUUUUCAUUACAAACUCAUAUGAUAACAUAAAAAUAAUAAGAUUCAUUGAUAAAAUAAAAAUAAUAAGAUCCGUUGAGAUAGUGACACAUGAAUGUAGAGUAUGAUAAGACUUUAUGCAUUAUUUUAUUCUGUUUGAGGAAAGUCCAACCUAAAGGAUAUAAAAAUUAAAUUUCAGCACCUUAGAUCUUACUAUUAUUCAGAUUAGGUAGGCCGAUCAUUUUAAAGCCCAUAAUCAACGAGUAGAUCUCUCUUAAAUACGUAGGACAUCAUUAGGGUCAUGGUUGUCUAUGUGAUAGAAUUGACAAACAUGACACGCGCGAUGGACAAGUCAUUGGCUAACCGACUCCAUUAACGAGCCGUCUGACAUAUCUGCCGCAACACACUAUUAUUCAAUCUAAGGGGACGUCAACAAAAACGUACCAAGAUGAACCAAUCACAUUCAAAGACAGAUUUUUCAACUUUACCAGUAUAUUACAAACACAAAUCCUUCUCUAAACCUCAAUCUCGACGAAUCGAAUUUCAAUCUUAUUAAUUUCCAAUCAUCUAUCCAAAUUUAUUAACUUUCCCGUGAAAUCAAGCUUAUUGUCCACGUCUUCUUGAAUCCAUCGAAUCUAAGAUAUCAUCAUCAAAAGCUGUAAGAGAAGAAAUUAAUGCAAUUGAUAAAUGAACAAUGAAAAAGAAUUUAAAAUAAAAUGAAAAAUCAAAGUCUAAAUUAGUUCCAUGCAGCAUUACCAUAAAGUGACAGAUCUCUCAAGAGUCAAGACUUUAUGCAAUUCUCUCAAAGCUCCACCUAAAACCUUUCUUGAAUUGAAAGCCAAGCCAAAGCCUUUCACAAGUAAAUGUAAGAUAAAAGAGCAUCAAGUAAUAGAGAGAUAGUGUGUGCAAUAUUAGGUAUGAUACUGUUUAAAAUAUAAAAAUAAAAAAUCACAGAAUUUAGAGAUACACAUGUAUUAGCAAUUUUUUAUAACACAACAUCAAAUACAAAUAUUAUUAGAUUCAACAAUUGCCAUAUUUUCAUCUGACUCAAUAGACACAAUAGAAGCUGAAGUAGACAAUUCCUCAAUAGACCUGGAAUCGAAAUUAAAUAUAAAUAAAAUUAUUAUCUUUUCCUUGAAUUAUAGGCAUAUACUAAAAUAUUUCAAAUGCAUAUAAAUCAAGAAGGGAGAAUUUAGUUUAAAUAAUAAUUUUGGAUGAAGGGAAAAGAUAAUUUAUACAUAUCUAAUCGUCUGAUGAAUCAUGUCAGAACCGUUAAUAACAAUUUUAGGAAUAUGAGCAAUCUUGAACCAAUCUUCACCUUUUCCACGUUCACAUCUUUUGCUCAAUUCAUCACAAUCUUUAAUCUCCAAUUGUUGGAGAGACGCGGUAUUUUGUAUGCAUACUGGCAAUUCUUUGAUAUAUUUACAAUAUUCCAAUUUUAAGAACCGGAGAGUGUUGGAAGAUCCUUGAAGAAGCCAUUCUGGAAAAUCCACCAAUUUUGGUAACAUUGCAAGUAUCAGCUUUUGAAGGUUGAAUUGAGCCAAGUGUUUAUUACUUUUUCCAUUUUCCUCCAAUGUCAAAUUGAGGUUUUCACAAUUGACAAUAUCAAGAAUCUCUAAUGCAGUGAGGUACUUCAUGCUUUGAGGCAAAGAGAUUAAGCUUCCACAACAUCCAAUAAUCAGAGUUCGAAGAUGUUUGAGGCCUUGCAUAUCUUCAAAUAAGUGUUCUAGUUCUUCACAGAAAAAAAUGCCCAAAAAUCUAAGAGAUGUCAAGCACCCUAUUCCAUUCAUCGGCAAACACUUCUGCUUUGUGGAAAACUGUAGAACUCUAAGAUUGAUCAAGUACCUUAUAUCACUAGGUAACUCCUCAAUACCUUCACAUAAUAGUAAAGUUUGUAAAUUGUAUAACUUGCAAAUGGAAUUGGGAAGCUUUUUACAGAAAAAAAUGCGCAAAUAUCUCAAAUGCUUUAGAGCACCAAUCCAAUCUAGUGAUAUUUCUAAUUUGGAAUGAGCCAAAUUCAACAUUCGCAAAUAUUGAAAUCUCAAUAAAUAUGAAUCCAAGUUUGAUUGGCUGCUAGGACUCUUUUCAUCACUCUGGAUUAUGUCAGUUCGCACAUGGUCUAAACCUUGUAAAAGGGUGGAAAGAUCUUGGGGAAGUGAAGUGAAGUUGGGAAAUAGCCUCCCUUUUCAGAAAUGCAGUCAUUUGUGAUAAGAAAAUUGAGGAAAACAAGAUUAUAUACGGAGUAGCUUUUGGGAAUAAAAGUACUUGAAAUAGAAACAAAGUGAUGAUUUGUUUUAAUAGAUUUUAUAAAUUAAAACUGAAUUUUUUUUUAUUUAAUAGAUUUUGUAGAUAGGGUAAAUGAAUAUUAAUCCAACCCAACGAGAUCUCAAAUUUAAUUCUUAUGACGGGUGAGAAAAAUGAAAACUGUUUAAAACAAAAAGAGAAGAAGAAAAUUGCAAUUGAAAAAGUUGAUUUUAAGAAAGAACAAAAAAAUUUAAGAAAAUAAUGCGAUUGGACGAUGAAAUAAAUAAUUAAAUUAAAAAACUUGGUUGAAGGUAAUUAAAGUUGAAAGAUGAUGAAAAUAAAUAAUCAAAUUAAAAAACUCAGUUGAAAGGUUUACCGUAAAACAUUGAUUAAAAAGAUGAUUUAUUUAAUUGUUUAUUAUUUGGUUAUAGUGUUCAAAUAAACGAAUCCAACAAUUAUUUUUUAAAAUUAAAUUAAUUCGCGUAGCGUUUAAAUUAAUUUCUAGUUAAUUAAUAAUUCCAUCAAGGGUAUAGAUUUAAUUAAUUAACUAUUUAAGAAAAAGAAGAACUCAAGCUUCAUCAAUAAUAGUAAGCAAAUUAUUUAAACCAAAUCAAUUAAUUUCUUAAUAUAAACAAAUAUGCUAAUUACUAUUUGUAUUAACAUAAUUAAAUAAUUAUGUAUUUACUUGCGUUAACUAGCAAUAUAUUGUCUUCUUAAAAGAUUCAAUGGAUCUCUUGAAUUUCUAAAAAGAUAACAAUGAGGUGGUGUUUUUCGAAAACAAAAAUUGAUAUAAAUAUAAAUUAAGAACAAAAUCUCACAACUUAAUAAAUUUCACUUAAUUAAUUUUCAAUUGAAAAAUAGAGUUUAGCCUUUAAAGGUUAUAACAAAAUUGCAGAAAAAUAAAAGAAGGAGAAGAAAAAUUCGGUCAAAAAGGAACCGAGAAAGAGAGAGAAGAUGUUGAGAAGAGAUGUGUUAGUCUACUUUUAGGACAACCUUUAUAUAGAUUUUUCUCAAACAAAAACAUAAUUAUUCGUAAUUUAAAAGAAAAAGUAAAAUAAAUCAAUUAUUUUUAGGAUAACUCUUAUCCUAAUCCUGAUCUGAUUGUGUUUUAAUUUAUCUGAAAUAGUUUUGAACCGUGUAUGACAGGCAGAACAGUAAUCCUGUAAUCUGUCUGUUUGGCUUGGAGUCUGGCUUGGAGCAUAACCUUGGGUAAGACUGUACAUUUCAGUCAGAAAAAGUUUUAAAAUAAUCUUUUUUGGGCAUUUUUUCAUUUUCAGCUCAAAAUUUGUCCAAAAUCAAAAUUCAAGUAAAAACCAAUUGUUUAUAUCAAAAUCAUAGCAAAAUUAUGAAAUUUAAUAUGAAAAAAAUGGUGAGUUUUGCAACUCAUUAGAUUUCCCAUACUUAUAGUUUUGCUUGUUCUCAAGCAUAGAAAUUCAAAUCCUUAAAAAAAAAUAAUAAAAACAUAGCCCUGUUCUCAACAAUUUGAAACUUAAUUUGUCUACAACAAAAAGCUAAAUUGUCAUGCAAUAAGAUAAUAGUAGAAAUAGUUUAAUUUCACCAAAGUUCUUUUCAAUAAAUCUCAUUUUUAAAACGUGUUUUUCAAGACGUAAAGUUGACUCUUUAUUCAAUUUCAAGCACACAAAAUAUUUAGAAUGCCAUUAAUAUUAAACUAUCAUUUUGAAAGAAUAAACUCUUAGAAACUCUUGGUUAGACCGAUAAAAUUUAAAGAAUUUGAGGAGUUUUAUUACACUUCCUACUAUAUUUUGCCUGAAACCGGUGAAGUGAAUGUGAAACAAAUGAUUACUGAGUCACUUGCCUCAGAUUAUUCAACUGAGGUUACUACUAGCUCCACUCAUGGUCACAUAACUAAAGGCAUGGGGCGAGUUUUAAACUACCCAAAAUGGGUGAUACUCUCGCAAACAUUGAUUUUUCAUACAGAAUCACCUUAAGAGGUCACUAAAUACCAUACUAUUUGAGCCAUCAGGUUGGUAACCAAAUAACCAAAUGACUAGAGGAGUGGGUAAUAGGAGUCCAAUUUAUAAUUUUUGCUUUUGUUAUUUUUCUCUUUUUUAUAUUACUUUUUCUUUCUUUUCUUGAUGACACCCUUUUAAUUUACACAUAAAAGUAUGUUAUAGACAAUGUGUUUAAAGUCAUUCUUAACAAAGGGCAACAAUUCAUUUAAAAGAUGGAGCUCCCUUAGUUAAAAUGGCAGGAUCCCUGAUGUGGCACAUAUGGAAGGAUCGUAACAUGUUCAUCUUUGAAGGAAAGCAAAAGGUAGCCCUUGAGGUAAUCAGACUUGCGUAUCAGUAUUUUGGGGAUUACAUCUUUGCCAACUCAUCUACUGUUGAAGAAGACAGGGUGGUACCAAAUGAUGCAGCAACUGAAGUCUCCUAGCAAGCUCCUCCUCUAAAUGUAAUCAAAUUAAAUUUCGAUGCAGCCAUUGAUACCAGGAAUUCUAGAGUGAGUGCAGUUGUUUCCCGUGAUCAUAGAGGCCACCUUUUACUUUGGAGCUGUAGGCUUUAGAACCAUAACGUCGAUCCUCUCUUAAUGGAGUGCCUAGCAUGUAGAGAUGCUUUGCUUUUAGCAAAGAAUAGGAGUUUGCAGAGGGUAUUUUUUAGAGUACAUUUAAGAUAUAAAAUCUAAUAAUAUUAUGGACACUAAAUUAUAUCCACGAUAUUUUUUCAGGUAUAUAAAUAUAUAAUAUUCUCUUAGUAUAUUUCAUUCGAAACUUCACAGAAAAAUAAAAAAAUUUUAACCACCGUAAACAUAAUCAAAUUAAUGAACCGUAUUAAAUUUAUAUCAAUUCUUUUCGUGUUUAUUUUUUUAAUCGUGUGAUUGUUGGAUUCUUAACAAAGUGAUUUUGAAACUGUUAUCCAAACAUAUUAGGGGAGACAAGCGCCUUUACUUAUUCAAGAUUUGAUACCAUUAUUAAUAUUUCACAAUGUUUAAAAUUCAAACUUUACAUAAUUAUUUUAUCAUUAAAAAAUAUAAAUUAAGAUGGAUACUAUUUUUAAAAAAAUUAACAAAAUAAUAUAAUAAAUUUCUUAAUAUCUAUUAUAAAUACAUUAUAUAUUAGUACUUAACAAUAAAUUAAAUUCUAAAGAAAAAAAUUAUUAAUUAAGAAAACACAAAGAUAUUUGAAGUUAAAAUAAACAAAUAAUUGAUAAAGCAGUGGAUCCAAGGGGGAAAAAAUAGAAAAAUAUGCAAAUAAAUUCAGACAGAUGAAAAAGGUCUAAAUAAUUAACAAUUUGAAAAGAAUAUUUCCAUUCUAAGGUGAUGAAAAUUGUANNNNNNNNNNNNNNNNNNNNNNNNNNNNNNNNNNNNNNNNNNNNNNNNNNNNNNNNNNNNNNNNNNNNNNNNNNNNNNNNNNNNNNNNNNNNNNNNNNNNNNNNNNNNNNNNNNNNNNNNNNNNNNNNNNNNNNNNNNNNNNNNNNNNNNNNNNNNNNNNNNNNNNNNNNNNNNNNNNNNNNNNNNNNNNNNNNNNNNNNNNNNNNNNNNNNNNNNNNNNNNNNNNNNNNNNNNNNNNNNNNNNNNNNNNNNNNNNNNNNNNNNNNNNNNNNNNNNNNNNNNNNNNNNNNNNNNNNNNNNNNNNNNNNNNNNNNNNNNNNNNNNNNNNNNNNNNNNNNNNNNNNNNNNNNNNNNNNNNNNNNNNNNNNNNNNNNNNNNNNNNNNNNNNNNNNNNNNNNNNNNNNNNNNNNNNNNNNNNNNNNNNNNNNNNNNNNNNNNNNNNNNNNNNNNNNNNNNNNNNNNNNNNNNNNNNNNNNNNNNNNNNNNNNNNNNNNNNNNNNNNNNNNNNNNNNNNNNNNNNNNNNNNNNNNNNNNNNNNNNNNNNNNNNNNNNNNNNNNNNNNNNNNNNNNNNNNNNNNNNNNNNNNNNNNNNNNNNNNNNNNNNNNNNNNNNNNNNNNNNNNNNNNNNNNNNNNNNNNNNNNNNNNNNNNUCAGUAUUGAAGAGUAGGAAAUCUAGAAAAAAUUUGAACUGUAUACUAAAAUUUUCAGCAGAUGGACACAGCUUCAACGAGUAAGCUUGAAUUAAGAUAUCCAAUCAUGAAUACAUCAAUAAAGUUCACAUUGAUACAAAUUAAAAACUCCCAUAACAUCAAUUGCCUUGCUUAUUAUUAUUAUUAUUUUUUCUGAAUAACUGAAUAUUUCAUUCUGUUCAUAUACAAGAUUUUUUGGCCAGUCAUCUUAUUCUGCAGAAAUUGGUCAGAAAUAAAAGAUAAAAGAAGCAUUAAAAAUAUUUAAAUUAAGAAAAAGGAGAGAAAAGAUAUGAAAAGGGAGGAAUGUGAGCCUCUACCUGAAUUCUGUGCAGGUAUGGAAAAGCUUCAGCAUGGAUUCUCAGUCAGUUCUCUAAACACAUUUUUCACUUGGUUUAGAACAUUAUUAAACAUUAGUUUUCAACAGAAAGCAAUUCCAUGAACAAAAAGCAACAGAACCUUGAAGCCAUAAAACAAUGGAAAAUUCACUAAUUGGUCUUGUGAUACAGGGAAGCUCAUUAGUUGAGUUUAAAAAAAUAGAUUAAAACUAUCCUGAAAUUUUAAAAAAUCUACUAAUUAGUCCUGUUGUUAAUUUUAACUGUUAAACGUUUUACUAUUUAGUUCAUGUGAUAUAGAAAAAUUUAUUAGCUGAUUUCUCAGUUUCGUAAAAAUAUCUACUAAUUAUUCCCUUUAUAUCGAGGGCAUUUUAGAUUUUUUUACGGUAUUUAAUGGUUAAAAUUAAUAGACAGACUAACUAGUAGACUUUUUAAAAUCUCAUAAACGUUUUAAUAUAUUUUUCAAAAUUGAGAGACUACCUAAUUAAUUUCCCAAUACCACAAGGAUGAAUUAGUAAAUUUCUCUAAAACACAAGAAAAUUAAGAAAGAAAAAGAAGUGGAUAAACAUACAACUUUUGAUGAUUUGAAAGAUGAAUAUAGCUACAUCCAUAUUCUGAUUUGAGUGACUUAAGCAAACUGGGUUGAUGAUUUGCAAUUCUCCAUGCAUAGGUUUUCAUUACAAACUCAUCUGAUAAUAUAAAAAUAAUAAGAUCCAUUGAUAAAAUAAAAAUAAUAAGAUCUCAACUAAUAAGAUCCGUUGAGAUCGUGACACAUGAAUGUAGAGUAUGAUAAGACUUUAUGCAUUAUUUUAUUCUGUUUGAGGAAAGUCCAACUUAGAGGAUAUAAAAAUCAAAUUUCAGCACCUUAGAUCUUACUAUUAUUCAAAUUAGGUAGGUCGAUCAUUUUAAAGCCCAUAAUCAACGAGUAGAUCUCUCUUAAAUACGUAGGAUAUCAUUAAGGUCAUGGUUGUCUAUGCGAUAGGAUUGACAAACAUGACACGCGCGAUGGACAAGUCAUGGGCUAACCGACUCCAUUAACGAGCCGUCUGACAUUUCUGCCGCAAUACACUAUUAUUCAAUCUAAGGGGACGUCAACAAAAACGUACCAAGAUGAACCAAUCACGUUCAAAGAAAGAUUUUUCAACUUCACCAGUAUAUUACAAACACAAAUCCUUCUCUAAACCUCAAUCUCGACGAAUCGAAUUUCAACCUUAUUAAUUUCCAAUCAUCUAUCCAAAUUUAUUAACUUUCCCGUGAAAUCAAGCUUAUUGUCCACGUCUUCUUGAACCCAUCGAAUCUAAGAUAUCAUCAUCAAAAGCUGUAAGAGAAGAAAUUAAUGCAAUUGAUAAAUGAACAAUGAAAAAGAAUUUAAAAUAAAAUGAAAAGUCAAAGUCUAAAUUAGUUCCAUGUAGCAUUAACAUAAAGUGACAGAUCUCUCAAGAGUCAAGACUUUAUGCAAUUCUCUCAAAGAGCAUCAAGUAAUAGAGAGAUAGUGUGUGCAACAUUAGGUAUGAUACUGUUUAAAAUAUAAAAAUAAAAAAUCACAAUAGUUUAGAGAUACACAUGUAUUAGCAAUUUUUUACAACACAACAUCAAAUACAAAUAUGACUAGAUUCAACAAUUGCCAUAUUUUCAUCUGAGUUCCCAGGCUCAAUAGACGCAAUAGAAGCUGAAGUAGACAAUUCCUCAAUAGACCUGAAAUCGAAAUUAAAUAUAAAUAAAAUUAUUAUAUUUUCCUUGAAUUAUAGGCAUAUACUAGAAUAUUUCAAAUGCAUAUAAAUCAAGAAGGGAGAAUUUAGUUUAAAUAAUUAUUUUGGAUGAAGGGAAAAGAUAAUUUAUACAUACCUAAUCGUCUGAUGAAUCGAUAUCAGAACCGUUAAUAACAAUUUUAGGAAUAUGAGCAAUCUUGGACCAAUCUUCACCUUUUCCACGUUCACAUCUUUUGCUCAAUUCAUCACAAUCUUUAAUCUCCAAUUGUUGGAGAGACGCGGUAUUUUGUAUGCAUACUGGCAAUUCUUUGAUAUAUUCACAAUUUUCCAAUUUUAAGAACCGGAGAGCGUUGGAAGAUCCUUGAAGAAGCCAUUCUGGAAAAUCCACCAAUUUUGGUAACUCCUUAAGCAUCAGCUUUUGAAGGUUGAAUUGAGCAAAGUGUUUAUNNNNNNNNNNNNNNNNNNNNNNNNNNNNNNNNNNNNNNNNNNNNNNNNNNNNNNNNNNNNNNNNNNNNNNNNNNNNNNNNNNNNNNNNNNNNNNNNNNNNNNNNNNNNNNNNNNNNNNNNNNNNNNNNNNNNNNNNNNNNNNNNNNNNNNNNNNNNNNNNNNNNNNNNNNNNNNNNNNNNNNNNNNNNNNNNNNNNNNNNNNNNNNNNNNNNNNNNNNNNNNNNNNNNNNNNNNNNNNNNNNNNNNNNNNNNNNNNNNNNNNNNNNNNNNNNNNNNNNNNNNNNNNNNNNNNNNNNNNNNNNNNNNNNNNNNNNNNNNNNNNNNNNNNNNNNNNNNNNNNNNNNNNNNCUAGGGCGGGCCGUAAUGGCUCCCCCGAGGGACAAAUCCUGCCUGGAACCCGUGAGGGUGAAGGGAUGUUAAGAGCUGCUCACGACGCCAGUGGAAAGCCCGAGGUGGCAAGAGGCCAGGCGAGGGAUAGCCCUGGGCCGUGAGCGGUAACAGUGCCGGGGAUCACGUCCGGGCUGUUACAUAUGUGCCGCAACAAACUACUGUUCAAUCUGAGGGGACGUCAACAAAAAUGUACCAAGAUGAACCAAUCACAUUCAAACACUGAUUUUUCAACUUUACCAGUAUACUACAAACACAAAUCUUUCUCUAAACCUCAAUCUGCACGAAUAAGAUUUCAACCUUAUUAAUUUUCAAUUAUCCAUCAAAAUUUAUUAAUUUCUCGUGAAAUCACGCUUCUUGUCCACGUGGAUACAUCUUCUUGAACCCAUAGAAUCUAAGAUAUCAUCAUCAAAAGCUGUAAGAGAAGAAAUUAAUGCAAUUGAUAAAUGCAUAAUGAAAAAGAAUUUAGAAUAAAAUAAAAAAUCAAAGUCUAAAUUAGUUCCUAUGUAGAAUUGCCAUAAAGUGACGGAUCUCUCAAGAGUCAAGGCUUUAUGCAAUUCUCUCAAAGCUCCACCUAAAACCUUGCUUGAAUUGAAAGCCAAACCAAAGCUUUUCACAAGUAAAUGUAAGAUAAAAGAGCAUCAAGUAAUAGAGAGACAGUUUGUGUAACAUUAGGUAUGACACUAUUUACAAUAUAAAAAUAUAAAGUGAUAAGAGUUUAGAGAUACACAUGUAUUAGCAAUUUUUUAUAAUACAACAACAAAUACAAAUAUUAAUAGAUUCAACAAUUGCCACAUUUUCAUCUGAGUUCCCAGACUCAAUAGGCACAACAGAAGCUGAAGUAGACAAUUUCUCAAUAGACCUGGAAUAAAAAAUAUAAAAAUAAAAAUAUUAUAUUUUCCUCGAAUUAUAUGCAUAUUUCUAAUGCAUAUAAAUCAAAAAGGAGAAUUUAGUUUAAAUAAUAAUUUUAGAUGAAGGGAAAAGAUAAAUUAUACAUACUUAAUCAUCUACUGAAUCGAUGUCCAACUGUCAAUAAUAAUUGUAGGAAUAUGAGCAAUCUUGGACCAAUUUUCACCUUUUCCAGGUUCACAUUUUUCGCUUAAUUCAUCACAGGCUACAAUCUCCAAUUGUUGGAGGGAUGCUAUAUUCUGUAUGCACACGGGUAAUUUUUUGAGAUAUUUACAACUUGCUAAUAUUAAUAACCGGAGAGUGUUGGUAGAUCCUUGAAGAAGCCAUUCCGGAAAAUCCACCAAUUUUGGUAACUCCGCAAGUAUCAGCUUUUGAAGGUUGAAUUGAGCAAAGUGUUUAUCAUCUUUUCCAUUUUCCUCCAAUGUCAAAUUGAGGUUUUCACAAUUGACAAUAGCAAGAAUCUCUAAUGCAGUGAGGUACUUCAUGCUUUGAGGCAAAGAGAUUAAGCUUUCACAAUUUCCAAUAAUCAGUAUUCGAAGAUGUUUGAGGCCUUGCAUAUCUUCAAAUAAGUGUUCUAGUUUUUCACAGCUACCAAUGGCCAAAAAUCUAAGAGAUGUCAAGCACCCUAUUCCAUUCAUCGGCAAACACUUCUGCUUUGUGGAAAACAGUAGAAAUCUAAGGUUGAUCAAGUACCUUAUAUCACUAGGUAACUCCUCAAUACUGUCACUUAAUACUAAAGUUUGUAAAUUGUGUAACUUGCAAAUGGAAUUGGGAAGCUUUUUAAUUCCAGAAUUUCCAUAUAGACGGAGAUAUCUCAAAUGCUUUAGAGCACCAAUCCAAUCUAGUGAUAUUUCUAAUUUGGAAUGAGCCAAAUCCAACAUUCGCAAAUAGUGAAAUCUCAAUAAAUAUGAAUCCAAGUUUGAUUGGCUGCUAGGACUCUUUUCAUCACUCUGGAAUAUGGCAGUUCGCACACGGUCUAAACCUUGUAAAAGGGUGGAAAGAUCUUGAGGAAGUGAAGUGGAGUUAGGAAAUAGCAAAUGGCGAACAUUGUGUGAGAUGUGUGUGGUGCUUGAGGUUAUUGCUAAAAAUUCAUUUUGUGUCAAUGAUAAUGCAAGAUCAUGUACUAGAUCAUGCAUUUUACAUGUAAUCCAUAUGCCCUCACGAGUCUCAAAGUCUUGAAAAAAAGAUCUAGACCCCAGCUCCUGAAAAUAGCGCGACCCAAUAUCUUCCAGCUCUUCAUUUUGGUUUGCUGAUUCAAGAAGUCCAUGUGCCAUCCAAAAUUGAAUUAAUUCCCAGUUAGAGAAUUCAUAGUCCUUUGGAUAAAAAGAGCAAUAAGCAAAGCACUUUUUCAAAUGAGCAGGCAACUGCUCGUAACUUAAUCUCAAAGCAGGUAAAAUAUCAGUUUCCUUCUGCUCUAUCUUCCAUAACUCGCUAUCUCUUAUAGACUUCCAAUAACUUUCAUCAGUAUUCAGAAGAAGAAGUGAUGCUAAUGUCUUCACUGCUAAUGGAACCCCUUUGCAUUUUUUGACAAUUUCAACCCCAAUUUUUAACAAGUUUGGAUAUCGCUUCACUUGGCCUUCUUUAAAUGCAAAUUUAGUAAACAAAGCCACACACUCAUCUUCAGGAAGACCCGAUAACUCAUAUGCUUUUGGGAUGGUGCCCAUAAUGGAGGCUACUUUAUUACUACGUGUAGUUACUAAGAUUUUGCUUCCAUUGGCACCCAUACACAAGAGCUCUUUCAAUUGGUUCCAUUUCAUAGGGUCAUCAUUCCACACAUCAUCUAAGAUGAGCAAAUAUUUCUUAUCACCAAUGAUCUCCCUCAAAAUUCUUUGUAACUGAUCCAUUUCCAUUUUGCUCAACUUCUCUACAUGUCUCAUUCCCUCUUCUGUAGACUUAAUAAUUUUCUCUGUCAAAAUCUUUAUGUCAAAUUCUUCUGAUACACAAACCCAUAUUUGAAGUUGAAAAUGAUUCCUUACCCUUUCAUCAUUAUAAACAAAUUUAGCGAGUGAAGUUUUUCCCAACCCUCCAAUUCCAACAAUAGGAAUGACAGAGAUUUGAUCGCUAUCACUAGAGUCUUGUAAAAGUGUAAUGAUAUUUUCUUUAUCAUCAUCUCUACCUAUAACUUCAGAUGCUUGCACAAAUGAGUGAGUCAGUGCUCUUUCUCUAGGCAUAACAUGCCUACUUUCAUAUCGUUCUAUGAGAUGAAAUUUAGAUUUCUGACUUGCAAUCUCAUCUAAUUUUUCUCUUAUUUGCUUUACUUUUGCACUCAUUUUAAUACGAAAUGCCAUUAGAUUAGAACAUGAAAGAAAGUGACCCACCUGUAAUCCAAAAAUAUACAGUAUUGAUUUCAUAUGCUUACAUUUAGACGUAAUCAGUAACUAAUCAAUUAAUAUAAAAGCAUGCUUUUCUAAAUGACUAUCCGAUUGCAAGUAAUUAUAAUAAUAUUUCAAACUCUACACAGGGCUUUAGUUUUUUAUUCUCAAACUUAAAAUAAUGAGAAAUAUUUGAUUUCGAUCAUAUAUUUUAAAUUUCUUUUUGGAUAUGUUGACAUAUGAAUGGUUGAUUAGUGAGUUUUUUAUAUUAUAAGAACUAAGUAAUAAUUAUUUUAAAUAAUAAUUAUUUUAUAUUAAAUACAGUUUUAUUAUUAUUUUUAUAGUAUAUAUUAACCUUAUAAAUUUUUAAAUAUAAUUAUUUUAAUUUAUUGGAGUUCAUGAUACAAUUUUUAAAAAGUACUAAAAAUUCAAUAAUACGUAUAAUUUUAUUAUUUAUGUUAUUUGAAUUCAUAAAAUAAUUAAAAAAAUUAUUUUUUCAUGAGUUAAUAACAAAAAAAAUUAUUUUUGUUUAUUUUUAUAAUUAUACCCUAUUUUUUUAUAAUUGACCAAUUAAAUUUUACAUUUUAAUAUUUAUUCUAAUUAUACAUUCACGUUAAUUUUUCAUUAAAAACUAAUAAAAUUAUCACAUUAUUUAAUAUAUUAUUGUUAGAUCACUGCUAGUUCAACAAAAUUCAUAAUACAAUUAAUUACGACUUAAAAAGUUAAGGUUUAAUUGAUAAAUUUUUAAAAUUUAAGAUAUAAUUAUAAAUUUUUUUAAAAAUUAUGAUUUUUUUUAUCAUUUAUCCUAAAAUUAAAAUUGAUAAUAUUAAAAAAUAAUUUAUAGUAUUAUUAUAAAUUUUUUAGUUUUAUCAAUGAUUUAGUAUAUCAAUUUUAUUUUAAUUUAAUUUAAAAUUAAAUUACACUAAUUAUUAUUAUAAUUUAAAAAAAUACAUAAUUAACAAUAUGAUUGAAAUUAAAAAGAAAUAUUAUUAUAAAAAAUAUAUUAAAAAAUAAUUAUAAUUAUUUUAUUAUUUUAUAUUUUAAAAAUAAAUUAUGCAAAAUAUAAUUUUAAAUUAAUUUUAUAUUUCACGUUAUAAAAUAUAAUUAAUAUAUAUUAUUAAUCAUAUAACUUUUUUUAACUACAAUGAUGAUCGAUUUAGAUUAAAUUAAAAUAGAUUGAUACACUAAAAUGAUAAAAUUAAAAAAUUUAUAUAGAUUUAAUACGGUUAAAAUAGUAAUAUUUUCAUGAGUUAAUAAAAAAAUUCAUUUUUUUUAUUUUUAUAAUUAUAUUUUAUCUUUUGAAGAAUUAAAUUCUAAAUUUUAAUAUUUGUUUCGACUAGAGGUUCACGUUAAAAACUAACGAAAUUGUCACAUUAAAUAACGCAUUAUUAUCAAAUUACGAUAUUAUUUUAACAAAAUUUAAAAUACAAUUAAUUAUAACUUAAAAAGUUAAAAUUUAAUUGAUAAAUUUUUAAAAUUAGGAUAUAAUUAUAAAUUUUUUUAAAAGUUAAAAUUUUUUAUCAUUCUCUUAAAAUUAAAAUUGAUAAUAUUAAAAUAUAAUUCAUAAUAUUAUUAUAAUUUUUUUAAUUUUAUAAUUUUAAAUUAAGCCACAUUAAUUAUUAUUAUAAUUUAAAAAUGCAUAAUUAACGAUAUAACUGAAAAUAAAAAAAAUAUAUUAAAAAAUAAUUAUAACUAUUUUAUUAUUUUAUAUUUUAAAAAUAAUUUAUGCGAAAUAUAAGUUUAAAUCAAUUUUAUAUUUCACAUUAUGAAAUAUAAUUAAUAUAUAUUAUUAAUUAUAUAUUUUUUUAACUACAAUGAUAAUUAUUAUAAAUUUAAAAAAAUUAAAAUGUGGAUUAAUUUAGAUUAAAUUAAAAUAAAUUGAUAUAAUAAAAUUAAAAAAUUUAUAAUAAUAAUAAUAAUAAUAAUAUAAAUUACUUUUUAAUAUUAUAAAUUUUAAUUUAAAAAAAAUUAAAAAAUUAAACUUUAAAGUAAAUUUAUAAUUACACAUUAAAUUUUAAAAAAUUACUAAUUAAAUUUGAUUUUUUAAAUUGUAAUCAAUUAUACUCGGCACGACAAUGACAUUAAUCUGUAACGAAAAGUUUAAUGUUAGUAUAUAAUUAAAAUAAAUAGAAAAAUAGAAAAAUAUGAGAUUUUUUGUUAUUAACUUUAUUUUCAUUAUUAAACUAUUUUUGUAAUUAAUAAUUUUUUUUAGCAUAUAUUGAAUAUAUAGGAGUAUAUUAAAACGCUAAUAUGUUAUCAUCUAAAAAAAAUUUCUCAUAUCUCGUACUUUUGAGAUAAAAUCAUAUUAUUGUUUUGAGAUUAAAUUUAAUUUUCUUUAAAUUUUAAAAUUAAAUUAUUUUAAGACAUUUUAUUAUUUUGCAGUUGUUUAUAUAUUUAUUUCAUUUGAGUAUAUAUGUAUACUAUAUAAAAUAAAAUAAAAUAUUAAAUUCCUAAAACAUUUCUAUAAUAAAUCUGUUUCUAAAAAUAAAAAAUUCAAAAUUAAUUUUAAUUCUAAUUUUUAACGAGAAUCAUAUUAGAAUUAAAAUCAAAUUACUUGUGAAACCAUUUCUAAAUUAAAGAAAAUUAUAAUUUUUUUUUAUAAAAUUAGAAUUUUAUUUUUUGAAAAAAUAUUGAAUGUGAAAUUUUAUAAAUAUAUAAUAAAUUUAUAUAUGUAUAACAUAUAAUAAAUAUCAGGAUGAAAUAAAAAUAAUUAUAAUGUAAAACUAAAUCGUGUGCCUCGGACCUUUUUGCUGGUGGUUCCAUACAAUUGAAGUACUCGUCUUCUCUGAUCUUCACAUUGAAAUUCAUCAAGCACAUCCUCAGCAUCAUAAAGAGCAUCCUUAAGCUUAGCCAACCACAACCUCAGUGGAGGGUCAUUCACUUGCUUCUCCUCAGCAUCCAUUAGCACAGCUUUCACUGUCAACAAGAUAUCCUCCAGCUUUCUGAGUUCUGCUUUCAAGCCCCAUGCAAAACAUAUCUCUUGGUAGGUAUGGGAUGCUAUCUUCUCCAACACUUUCUCAGCAAUAUUAAAAGCAAACGACUCUAUUGCCAUUUUUGUGGAUUUUGAUUUUUAUCUGAGUAGAAAUUGAGAUAGAUAACAAAAUUUGAAUCAAAAUCCCAUGCAUUUUAUAGCCUAGAAAACUCAUUUGGCAAGCAUCGAGUUUUCAAAGUUGUGAAUUAAAGCAUAAAUUCUAUUAUUUCAGCUGAUGAACUCAAAGAUUAUACUAAAUCUUUGGAGUUUAAAAUUCUAUAUUCUCCCAUCUUCUUACUCAUUCUUGGUGUAGGCAAAAGUUACAAGCAACAUGAUACCUUUGGGCCCAUUUGGUUUAGAAAAUAGAAAUGCAAUAUUGUAUAUAUUAAGCUUAUUUAUAUCAUGUAAAAAAAUAUAUUUAUUUUUUUAUAUUUUUUAAUGCUUGAGAUAUAUUAGUGAAAAUAGUUUUCUUUAUAAUAGAAAACUUAAGUUGCUUUUAAAGAAAAUUAAUUUUUCUUUUAAAGAUCAAGCCAUUUUUUAUAUUUUAAAAUAUAUAUUAAUUAUUUUAAUUUAUACAUUUUUGUUUCUCCCCCUCAAAUCGCCUAACCGGUCUAUCCUCAAUCCCAUAAGUUUUCUUUAUCUCUAUGUGCUCCCUUUCACUGUUCUCUCUACAACUUCAUGGUGAUUUUUCAAGUUUGGUGACUGAUAUACUGGAGAUUUUUCAAGAAAGAGAUUAACAGUGUCACUAAUCAUUCAUUCACACAUUUCACCACCUCUUUCUUCAUGUUGGGAUUUUAACUUGUAUGUGUUUUUUGGGGUUUUGCAAUUGGAUAUUGUUUGCUUUCGGAGCUUAGCAUUUGAUGAACUUUUUUUAUUUUUUAUUUUUUGUUUUUCUAACAAUCAUAAAUCUAUUUUUAUUUAUUUAUUUUUAGUUGAAAUAUUAGUAGUCCUACUUAUGAUAAAACUUGUCUAAACUGAUACUACAUGGACUGGUAGCAUAAUGUAAAAUAGUAGUGCAAUCCACAUAAAAUGCAUGUAAUUAUACUGUAAAUUUAUAUAGAUUUAGUUUAGAUAAGAAUUGUCUCUACUUAUAUAUAGAACAUUUUUUCUUGGUAAAAAUACUUCUUUUUUCCUGAUGUGUUUUUCUCCUCAUACUCGUUUUUUUUUUUUUGGUGGGAUUACCCUUCUGGUAAGAAGACUUUUUAAUUUGAUUAUGCUCUUUUUGCAGUGAGAAUAUAGUAUUUUGAGUUGUUCUAAGAAAGAGAUACAGAAAAACAAGUAGUAAGCAAGAAUAUCUUUUUAUGACAAUAAAGCAGAUGAUUUGUAUUAUCAAUAAUAAAAUUAAAAUUACAGAAACAACAUUUAUGAUAAGAACAAUCAUUUGUGAUUAAAAUUUCAGGUCUAGAGACAAAAGCCUCCCUUCACAGAAAUGCAGCCAUUUGUGAUAAGCAAAUUGAAGAAAACAAGAUUAUGUAAGGAGUAGCUUUUGGGAAUAAAAACAUCUCCCUUCCCACAUUAUGAAGAGUAUACAUGAAAUAGAAACAAAGUGAUUUGUUUUAAUAGAUUUUGUAGAUUAAAACUUAUUUCUCUUUUCUUGAUACAAUAUCUAUAGAUAUUGUAAAUAGAGUGAAUGAGUGUCCAUACCUUAAAUUUAAUUCUUAAGACAAUGAGGAAAAUGAGAACUGAUUAAAACAAAAAGAGAUAAAGAAGUAAAUUGCUAUUGAAAAAAUUGAUUUUAAGAAAGAAAGAAAAAAAAGCUUCAAGAAAAUAAUGCGAUUGAAUGAUGAAAUAAAUAAUCAAAUUAAAAAACUCAGUUGAGGAUAAUCAAAGUUAAAAGGUUUACCGUUGAUCAUUGAUUAAAAAGAUGAUUUAUUUAAUUGUCCAUUGUUUGGUUAUAACAUUCAAACAAGUGAAUCCCAAUAAUUCUUUCUAACGAUUAAAUUAAUCUACAUAGCGUUUAAAUUAAUUUCUAGUUAAUUAAUAAUUUCAUUAAGCGUGUAGAUUUAAUUAAUUAACUGUUUUUAAAAAAGAAGAAUUCAAACUUCAUCAAUAAUAGUAAGCGAAUUAUUUAAACUAAAUCAAUUAAUUCCUUAACAUAAAUGAAUAUGCUAAUAUCUAUUUGUAAUAACCUAAUUAAAUAAUUAUGUAUUUACUUGGGUUAAUUAGCAAUAUAUUGUCUUAUUAGGAGAUUCAAUAGGUCUCUUAAAUUCCUAAAAUGACAACAAUGGAGGUGGUGUUCUUUGAAAAUAAAAAUUAAUUGAAAACAGAAAUUCAGAUAAACAGAAAUUAAGAACAAAAUCUCACAACUUAAUUAAAUAUCACUUGAUUAACCGUCAACUGAAAAAUAGAGUUUAGCCUCUAAUUAAGAGCCAUAACAAAAUUGUAGAAGAAUAAAAGAAGGAGAAGAAGAAUUCGGUCAAGGAGGAACCGAAAAAAAGAGAGGAGAUGAUGAGAAGAGAUGUGUGAUUCUACUUCUAGGGUAGCCUUUAUAUGGGCUUUUUCCAAAUAAAAAGAUAAUUAUUCACAAUUUAAAAGAAAAAAUAAAAUAAAUAUAUUAUUUCUAUGAUGACUCUUAUUCUAAUCCUAAUUUGAUUGUGUUUGCAUCUAUUUGAAAUAGUUUUAAACUGUGUAUAGCUGGCAAAACAGUAAUUCUGGAAUUUGUCCAUCGGGCUUGGGCCUUUCAGUUAGAAAAAGCUUUAAAAUAGUCUUUUUUGGUUAUUUUCUCAUUUUUCAACUCAAAAUCUGUCCAAAAUUAAAAUUCAAGUAAAAAUCAAUUAUUUAUAUCAAAAUUAUAGCAAAAUCAUGAAAUUUAAAAUAAAAAAAAUAGUGAGUUUUGCAACUCAUAAGAUUUCCCUAUACUUCACCUUUACUUGUCCUCAAACAUAGAAAUCCUUAAAAGAAAACAAUAAAGACAAAACCCUCUCCUCAACCAUUUGAAACUUAAUUUGUCCAAAACAAAGAGCCAAGUUGUCAUGAAAUAAGAUAAUAGCAGAAAUAGUUUAAUUUCACCAAAAUUUAUUUCAAUAAGUUUCAUCUUUAAAACAUGUUUCUCAAGACAUAAAGCUGACCCUUUAUUCAAUUUCAAGUAUACAAAAUAUUUAGAUGCCAUUAAUAUCAAACUACCAUUUUGAAAGAAUAAACUCUUAGAAACUCUUGGCUAGACCGAUAAAAUUUAAAGAUUUUGAGAGUUUUAUUACACUUCCUACUAUAUAUUAUCUGAAAUUGGUGAAGUGAACGUAAAAUAAAUGGUUACUGAGUCACUUGCCUCAGGUUAUUUAGUUCAGGUUGCUACUAUCUCCACCCAUGGUCACAUAAUUGAAGGCAUGGGACGAGUUUUUAAACGAUCCAAAAAGGGAGAUACUCUCCCAAACACUAAUUUUUCCAUACAUAAUCACCUUAAGGGGUCACCAAAUACCAUGGGCCAUCGAAUGCAUCAAUUUAAAAUUUACUUCCUUUUUAUUGAUUGAUAAGAACUUAUAGAUAAGAUAAGUGAGUAUCAAUCCCUCAUAAAACUUAAUUCUAUUUAAUUUAAAUAACCAAUUGGAAUAGAAGAAUGGUUUAAUAAAAAAAUGAGAAGAAGAGAGCUUUUUUUUAUGAAAGUAGUUUUGCCUUGGACAAGUCAAGAAAAAUAAACUUAAAAGAUAAAUAAUAAAUAAUGCAAUUGAAAUUUCAGAAAUAAAUAAUUAAUUAAAACUUUCAGCAGGGCAGAAGGUAAUCAAAUUUUGGUGUUUUGUAGUUGAUCAUUGGUUAGAAAAAAAUAAUUUAUGUUAUUAUCUAUUAUUUGGCUAUAGUGGUCAAACACGUGAAUCCUACCGAUUCUUCCUUAUGAAUAAAUUAAUCCAUUUCGCGUUUAAAUUAAUUCAUAAUUAACUAACAACUCUAACAUGCAUGUAGAUUUAAUUAGUUAGAGAGAAGAACCCAAACUUGAUAAAAAAAAACACGCGAUUUAUUUAAAUUAUUCCUAACAUAAACUAAUAUGCUAAUUGCUACUUGUUAUUAACCCAAUUAAACAAUCAUGGAUUUAAUUCAAUUAAUUAGCAAUAUACUGUCUUUCCAAUAGAUUCUCAAGAAAACAACAAUGUAGGGGUGUUCCUCAAAUUCAGAAAUUAACGGAAAAUAGAAAUAAGAUGAAAAAAUUGAAGCACGUAACCUCACAGUUUGAAUAAAAUCUCAAUUGAAAUUAACUUUCAGCUAAAAAUAAUUGUUUAGCCUCUAAGAGGAAUAAUAAAAUUAAGAAAAAAAGAAAAAGAAGAAGAUGAGGAAGAAGGUGGGGGCAGCAGCUAAAGAGAAGAGGAGGGAGAGAGAGAAAAAAAUAUGAUAUUUUAAGUUUAAAUCUAGGAGCCUUUAUAAUUAUUUAAAAUAAACUCUAUUACUCCUAUUUCAUCCAUAUCCUAAUCUGAUUGUUUUUUUAUCCAACUUGAAACUUAUUUAAAACUGCUGCGGUGGUGAAACUUCCCAUCGCUUAGGUUACAGAUUUGGUCAAAAUUGCAAUCUUUCAGUUCAAAAAUUCUUCAAUUCAGCUUCUUUUCAUUUUUUUUCUCAACUUCCGCUAAAAAAACCUGUCCAAAAUUAAAUUUCAAAUAAAAAUGAAUAUUUAUAUUAAAAUCAUAACAAAAUUAUGAAAUUAAAUAAAAAAAAAGUUAUGAGUUUUGCAACUAUCACAAAGUUGUAUUUUAAUUAACUUUCCUAUUUCUGUGGCUCUUAAAAGUUGUAUUUUAAUUAACUUUCCUAUUUCUGUGGCUCUUGAUUUAAGAAAAAUUUAUUAGGCUCUUUAAUUAAUUUUGAAACUCUUUCAUACUCUUAAUCAAUUUCUUAAAUAUAAGAUUAUAGGUUCUAAUCCUUUAUUUUCCAUCAUUAAUUUUCAUCCAUUAAUACAUUAAUUAAUAAUUAAAAAUAUGACUUGGUUGGUCAAAUACAAAGCAAGAUAAUAAACCACAAGGAAAAUAAUAAAGCAUCAAAUACCCAACUCAUUAAUAGAAAAUAGUUUAAAUUCAAAAUUAAAAUAGAGUAUUACAUACUUAAUUUCUAAAUCUAAGAAAACUACUCAUUAAUCAUGCUAUUUAUAAGAAAAAAUUCAAAGUAAGAAUAAAGGAUACAUGAAAUUAGUAAAGAAGAAGAAAAAUCCAAAUGAAAAACUAUUCAAAUAUUAAAAAUCUAUGCGAAGAGAGUCUCCAUUUGUGAAGUUGCAGCUACCCCUCAUUUUCUCCAAGAGAUUUUUACGUUAAUAGUGUAGAGAAAAGGUGAGGAAGAUGAUUCCAGUGUUCUAUUAUAGUCUUCUCUCCCUUCAAAAUGAAGAAAAAGACAAACAUAUACUCUCAAAAAAUCUGACUAGUAAAGGUAAAAGUUGUCAUUUGUUAUAGAAAUUAAAUACUAAUUUCUACACAUAUGGAUGAGGUGGCAGACUAACAGACAUAAGCUAUAACACAACUUUAUAGCUCCUUAUAUAACUUUUUCCUGCAAAAUAAAAAUAAAAUUACCUAUAAAAUACUAAUAAAAAGCAAUUAAAAUUAUUAAAAAUAUCAAAUAAAUAAAUAAAAAUUACUUAUGUAAACAAAAAUAAAUGCAAAAUAUACUUAAAAUAUAUAUAAAAAUUGAGGUUAACAGCAUUCAAUGAUUUGAAAGUUGAAAUUUGUUACAUCCAUAUUCUGAUUUGAGUGACUUCAGCUAAGUGGGUUGAUGAUUUGUAAUUCUCCAUGCAUGACUAGUUCAUUUAUUAAAUUCAUCAAAUUUAUAAAGAGAAGAAAGGCUGAUAAAAGAAAAAUGAAAAGAAUCUAAAAUAAAUGAAAAAUGUGUCUAGCUAAAGUAGUUCCCGUGUAGCAUUUUCAUAAAGUGGCAGAUCUCUCAAGACUUUAUGCAAUUCUCUCAAGCCUGAACUUGAAAACUUGCUUGAAUUGAAAGCCAAGCCAAAACUUUUCACAAGUAACUGUAAGAUAAAAUAGCAUCAAGUAAUAGAGAGACAGUUUGUGUAACAUUAGGUAUGACACUAUUUACAAUAUAAAAAUAUAAAGUGACAAGAGUUUAGAGAUACACAUGUAUUAUUAAUUUUUUACAACACAACAUCAAAUACAAAUAUUACUAGAUUCAACAAUUGCCACAUAUUCAUCUGAGUUUUUCAGGCUCAAUAGACACGACAGAAGCUGAAGUAGACAAUUCAUCAAUACACCUGAAAAUUGAAAAUAUAAAUAAAAUUAUAAUAUUUUCCUUGAAUUAUAUGCAUAUACUAGAACAUUUUAAAUGCAUAUAAAUUAAAAGGGAAAAUUUAGUUUAAAUAAUAAUUUUAAAUGAAGGAAAAAGAUAAUUUAUACAUACUUAAUCAUCUGCUGAAUCGAUAUCAGAACCGUCGAUAACAAUUUUAGGAAUAUGAGCAAUCUUGGACCAAUCUUCACCUUUUCCACGUUCACAUCUUUCGCUCAAUUCAUCACAAUCUUCAAUCUCCAAUUGUUGGAGAGAUGCUAUAUUCUGUAUGCACACAGGCAAUUCUUUGAGAUAUUUACAACUUUCUAGUUUUAAGAACUGGAGAGUGUUGGUGGAUCCUUGAAGAAGCCAUUCUGGAAAAUCCACCAAUUUUGGUAACAUCGCAAGUAUCAGCUUUUGAAGGUUGAAUUGAGCCAAGUGUUUAUUACUUUUUCCUUUCUCCUCCAAUGUCAAAUUGAGGUUUUCACAAUUGCCAAUAGCAAGAAUCUCUAAUGUAGUGAGGUACUUCAUGCUUUGAGGCAAAGAGAUUAAACUUUCACAAUCUCCAAUAAUCAGUGUUCGAAGAUGUUUGAGGCCUUGCAUAUCUUCAAACAAGUGUUCUAAGUUUUCACAGUUAGCAAUGCCCAAAAAUCUAAGAGAUGUCAAGCACCCUAUUCCAUUCUUUGGCAAAAACUUCUGCUUUGUGGAAAACAUUAGAUAUCUAAGGUUGAUCAAGUACCUUAUAUCACUAGGUAACUCCUCAAUACCUUCACAUAACAUUAAAGUUUGUAAAUUAUGUAACUUGCAAAUAGAAUUGGGGAGCUUUUUAAUUCUAGAAUUUCCAUGUAGAUGGAGAUAUCUCAAAUGCUUUAGAGCACCAGUCCAAUCUAGUGAUAUUUCUAAUUUGGAAUGAGCCAAAUCCAAUAUUCGCAAAUAUUGAAAUCUCAAUAAAUAUGAAUCCAAGUUUGAUUGGCUGCUAGGACUCUUUUCAUCACUCUGGAAUAUGGCAGUUCGCACACGGUCUAAACCUUGUAAAAGGGUGGAAAGAUCUUGGGGAAGUGAAGUGGAGUUAGGAAAUAGCAAAUGACGAAUAUUGUGUGAGAUGUGUGUGGUGCUUGAGGUUAUUGCUAAAAAUUCAUUUUGUGUCAAUGAUAAUGCAAGAUCAUGUACUAGAUCAUGCAUUUUACAUGCAAUCGAUAUGCCCUCACCAACCUCAAAGUCUUGAAAAAAAGAUCUAGAUCCCAACUCCUGAAAAUAACGCAACCCAAUAUCUUCCGGUUCUUCAUUUUGGUUUGCUGAUUCAAGAAGUCCAUGUGCCAUCCAAAAUUGAAUUAAUUCCCUGUUAUAGAAUUCAUAGUCCUUUGGAUAAAAAGAGCAAUAAGCAAAGCAUUUUUUCAAAUGAGCAGGCAACUGCUCGUAACUUAAUCUCAAAGCAGGUAAAAUAUCAGUUUCCUUCUGCUCUAUCUUCCAUAACUCGCUAUCUCUUAUAGACUUCCAAUAACUUUCAUCAGUAUUCAGAAGAAGAAGUGAUGCUAAUGUCUUCACUGCCAAUGGAACCCCUUUGCAUUUUUUGACAAUUUCAACCCCAAUUUUUAACAAGUUUGGAUAUCUCUUCACUUGGCCUUCUUUAAAUGCAAAUUUAGUAAACAAAGCCACACACUCAUCUUCAGGAAGACCCGAUAACUCAUAUGCUUUUGGGAUGGUGCCCAUAACGGAGGCUACUUUAUUACUACGUGUAGUUACUAAGAUUUUGCAUCCAUUGGCACCCAUACACAAGAGCUCUUUCAAUUGGUUCCAUUUCAUAGGGUCAUCAUUCCACACAUCAUCUAAGAUGAGCAAAUACUUCUUAUCACCAAUGCUUUCUCGCAAAAUUUCUUGUAAUUGCUCCAUUUCCAUUUUACUCAAGUUUUCUACACCGUAUCGUUUUCCAAUCUCUGUAGAUUUAAUAAUUUUCUCUGUCAAAAUCUUUAUGUCAAAUUCUUCUGAUACACAAACCCACAUCUGAAAUUGAAACUGAUUCCUUACCCUUUCAUCAUUAUAAACAAAUUUAGCCAGUGAAGUUUUUCCCAACCCUCCAAUUCCAACAAUAGGGAUAAUAGAGAUUUGUGCACCCUCACUAGAAUCUUGUAAAAGUCUAAUGAUAUUUUCUUUAUCAUCAUCUCUACCUAUAACUUCAGAUGCUUGUACAAAUGAGUGAGUCAGUGCUCUUUCUCUAGGCAUAACAUGCCUACUUUCAUAUCGUUCUGUGAGAUGAAAUUUAGAUUUCUGACUUGCAAUCUCAUCUAAUCUUUCUGUUAUUUGUUUUACUUUUGCACUCAUUUUAAAACGAAAUGCAAUUGGAUUAGAACACGAAAAAAAGUUACCCACCUGUAAUCCAAAAAUCUACUAAUUAAUCUCACUAUCAAUUUUAACAGUUAAAUGUUAUAAAAAAAAUUCUCACAUGUUCUCAAUAUAAAAGAACUAAUUAGUAGAAAUUUUUACAAAAUUGAGAACCAAUUAAUAAAUUCUGAGACUAAAUACUAGAAUAUUUAAUAAUUAAAACUAAUGAAACGACUAAUUAAAAUAUUUUUAAUACCUUAAAGACGCUUAAUGUACUUUUUCAAAAUAAAGAGAACAACUAAUGAAUUUUUUCAUAUUAUAUGAAUUAAAUAGUAAAUUUUCCUUCCACAAAAUUAUAAAUGUCUUUAAUAUGGAAAGACUAAUUAGUAUGUAUUUUUAUAAAAUUUAAACACUAACUAAUGAGUUUUUUAUAUCACGGGAUUAAAUAGUAAUAUAUUUAAUAAUUAAAAUUAAUCAAAAAACUAAUUAGUAGAUGUUUUAAAAUAUAAAAGACGUUUUUGUAAAUCAAAAAAUUAAUUAAUGAAUUUUUCUAUAUUAUAAAAAUUAAAUAAUAAGUUUUUUAUAAUAAUAUAAAAAUAUAUUUUAAAAAUUAAUUAAAUAAAUAUGUAUUUAAAAACAUGCAUUUGAUUGAAUGAGAUGAAAUUUUAAAAUUUUUUAAUAAUAAUCUAAUAAAAGUUGUAAAGAAAAUAAGAAAAUUCAUAUUUAUAGUUUUUUAUUUUUAAUUUUUUUUUAUUUCAAAUAUUUUCUAAUAAGUAGUUAAAAUGAAAGCUUAAACGAAUAAAUUUUAUAUUUUUUAUAAAAUAAAAAAUAAAAAAUAAAAAAUAUGUAUUUAAAAACAUGCAUUUGAUUUGAAGAGAUAAAAUUUGAAAAUUUUUUAAUAAUAAUCUAAUAAAAGUUAUAAAGAAAAUCAAAGAAUUAAUAUUUGUAGUUUUUUUAUUUUUUAUUUUUAUUUAUUUCAAAUGUUUUGAAAACGCAAGGCUAUUAAAGAAUAAAUUUUAUAUUUUUUUACAAAAUAAAAAAUAAUAACGAUAAUGAACGCACCUAAAUGUGUUAUAAAAAAUUAAACUCAAAAUUAAUGUUCUGGGCUUGUUUUUGUUCUUUUACAAAAAAUUGAGAUUGAGAGAUUGAAUUUAAAUCUUUUAAGGUUCAACUUAAUAUAUUUACUAUAAAUCAAGUAUGUGAGUGUAAUAUUGUAGUAUUAAUUGAGAUUUAUAUAUUGUUUUAAAAAUAUAAAAAUUAAUUAGAAUCAAAUUAAAAAAAAUUAAUAUAUAAAUUUAUUUUAAUUCAAUUUUUUCUUUAUAUGGUUUGAUUUCAAUUUGUAAUACAUAUUAAAUUUAUGUAUCUAUAACAUAACUCAAAUAUCAGGGUGAAAUAAAAAUAAUUAUAAUUCUGAUUUUAUUGUAUUUUUUAAAUAGAAUUAAAUUAAUUUAUAUCGUUGAAUUAUGUUAAUAUGGUAAUAUUUUUAUUAAAAAAUGUACUAUCCUGUAAUUAAUUUUCUAAAAAAUAGAGAAUUAUAUUUCAAUUCAUUAACACGACAUGAAAUUUCAAAAUAAAACGAAAUCGUGCGCCUCGUACCUUUUUGCAGGUGGUUCCAUACAAUUGAAGCACUCGUCUUCUCUGAUCUUCACAUUCAAAUUCAUCAAGCACAUCCUCAGCAUCAUAAAGAGCAUCCUUAAGCUUAGCCAACCACAACCGCAGUUGAUGGUCAUUCACUUGCUUCUCCUCAGCAUCCAUUAGCACAGCUUUCACUGUCAACAAGAUAUCUUCAAGCUUUCUGAGUUCCGCUUUCAAGCCCCAUGCAAAACAUAUCUCUUGGUAGCUAUGUGAUGCUAUCUUCUCCAACACUUUCUCAGCAAUAUUAAAAGCGAAUGACUCUAUUGCCAUUUUUGUGGAUUUUGAUUUUUAUUUGAGUAUGAAUUGAG